UAGGUUGAUUCGGUUUCACCUAUCAGCUUGCUGCGUGCCCCUUUUGUUUGGGAUCUCAUCUCGGUGUAACGCUGGAACGUUAUAUGUCCCAAGGAAACUUUGAGAUAGGCUUGUCGCCAAUUUUUGCUAGUAGAUGAGUCGUGAAUAAUUAUCAACUUCCUCUGUGCGUGUGAAGUGAUGUGGCUGGAAUUUAACGUACCCCUGUGGAUGUGUAUGGUUUUAUGCUCAAAGUCUUUGUCUCCGGUUUCCUUCUGUGCUGUUUGCUCUCUUUAGUUUGAAAUGAAACCUUGUCAUGUACCGCCAUGUUUUACAAGAAUCCUCAUGAUGAUAAAUUAGCAGCAUCUUCCAAAUAGCAUUAGGCGUACACAUGGACGGACAUGUUUCUCUCUUGGUUUUAUCAAUCCCGUUCUCCCAGUGCUGAAGAUGUCGAGGACAAACCUUGGGCCUUGCUCCGCCCUCCUCUUUAUCUGUUUUGAUGCUUUGAUCCACUUUCUGAAUGCACGCCCAAAUACAUGGCUGAAAUAAUACAUAUGGCUGAAAAGGCGCGAACUACACAAAAUACAUGGCUGGAAAUAAUCUGCAAGGCGCAAGCUAAUAAAGGCCUAAAAGCUGUGGCCAUUAUUUUUCAGAGACAACUAUCGCUGUAGUAUUUAGAUGGCAAACAUGCACCACUUACGUAUCAAAAGCUAGGCUGCCAUUGAACGUGCCUGCUAUUGUGGCCCAACAGGAAGCCUAGAGGUCUAGGGCAGUAGCAUGAUGCUAUGUCGCUGUUAAGCACAAACAUCAGCGCCUUAUUAUAUGUUAUAUUAGUGAACCCAGCGUAUGAGUUGCAUGCCCUUUUGGAGGCAAGGAAUCUGAUUGCACAUGAUCAUAUUUGGUUAAUUUGUACCUUAUUGUGGUUUUCUCCUAUACCAUUUGCCGACAACUCAAUUACCAAAUACUUCAUUUAAAUUUGGUAUAGUUAUUGCAUUGUCUGUCUUGUUCAUCUCUUCGUAAUCGUACAUUAACUCCAGCAUCCUUUUUCUCUUGAAGGGUCUCACAUUGUAAUUUCCAUCAUACAGCAAAAAACAAAUGCAUGCCAAAAGAUACAAUUGACUGCCAUUGCCAGGAUUAUUUUUGGAUGAGCUAGCACUUCUGCUCAACACCACUGAAAAUCCAGUACUGAAUGGCUAAAAGGUUUUCAUGUUAAGAGAGACAACAAUUAAACUAUCCAGUUUGAAUUUCUGUAGAACUAAAGCAAAGGUAGGUGGAAGCGUCUGAGCAAGAUUUUGUAUGCAAAGCGAUCUCAUUAAGAUAUGAACAAAACACAGGUGUUAGCAAUACUUCAAUUUGGAUUGGGCUCCAAAGUCCUCAUGGACUUCAAUUUGGGUCCCUAAUUAUUAUACUGGGAUUCCUACAAUCUUCCUUCGUCAAAAAGGAAAAUAAAUAAAUAAAUAAACAGAAAGUGAAGCAUGUGUGGGGGCAUAAAUUUCAGUUUUCCUUGCCUUCCGCUAAGAAAGCCAUCUUAAUUUGAUCGUAUAUGCAAGAGGAUUAAACUAGUGAGAGUGCAAUAAACUAGACACCAUUGGAGAACCUCUUGAGAAGCUGGAAAGGGCCGGGAGAUUUUGUAUGAGAGAACCUCUUGAGGAAAAAAUGAAGCAUGAAAACGAAAAGAAUACACUCAUAAACAGAAACAGAAGGAGAAGGCAGGACAAGCAACACCAAAAUUAGCAAGCAUUUACCUUCCAUGCAAGCCCGCCUACUUACGCAAGAGAAACCAGAAAACAAUCUCUAUAUAUCUGUUGGUGGCCGUGAGAGAAUGAAGCUGCAGCAUGAUCUGAUGGAGCCAAAAUUCCAAGAUAUAUAACCCCGCGCGACCGAACGCGUUUUCGGCUCGCAUGCUCGACGAGCAGAUCAUGCUGGCAGCUUCAGUCUCUCACACCAGCAAAGGCGUCCGUCCGUCCGUCCGUCCAUGGUAGCGGUUCUAGCAGGACAUGGAGCCGCGCGGAGAAUAGGGGUAGGGGAGAGAAGUGGCCGCUGCUGCCAUGCAUAUGUACUUCCCCUAUCCGGGGUAUCUUCUGUAUGGCGGCCUCGUAUGCGUAGGGUGGGCGGACUUAAAGGAGAGGAGGAGGAGGAGGAGGAGGAGGAGGGGAGGAGGGACAAAACCAUGGCACGAGGGGUGGGUGUGUGUCCAUGGUGGUUGGUGCAAGCAUGGUCCCUUCCUUGCCGCUCACACCUCGUGACACUGCCGUUUUGCCCUCACCGAAGUCGCCAUCGCCACCACGGCUUGUUUUAUGUGCAGUGUCCUUGCUCCCCCGGCCACACCAGAAUGGCACAUGCAUCUCUACGUUUUGCUCUCAAGUCCGGAUUUUUCGUAAAGAUAAUGUUUAGAGUGCAGAUGAUUGGUCGUGUUGCUAUCUACUCCCUCCGCUCCGAUUUACUCGUCAUGGUUUUGGUUCAAAUUUGAACUAAAACCACGACGAGUAAAUCAGAACGGAGGGAGUAUGUGUUUGUUGUGUGAGUUGCUGAACGAUUUACUUUCUCCCUUCCUUUCGCAAAAAAGAGAGAUUUAUUUACUCCCUUCAAUCCGAAUUAAUUGACGCAAACUCUAUACAAUGUAAGUGGGAGUACUGAUGAUGGAUGGAUAGUAGUUUUGAGGGUGCAGGUGAGGCUUUCAAAAAUAUGUCAUUGGAUUUUAAAGUUAUGCUAACAGUGUUUUAAAGCAUUUCACGUUAUUAAAGAUUAAGGGUACGUUUGGAUCAUAGCCAAUGCUUACCAUGCCAAAAAAUUGGCUGGCCCACGAACUUUGGUAGUCAUUUGGACUUGUGCCAAAAAUUUGGCUAGCCCGAGACGCCCGACCCCCGCCCACUUAAUUCUCGCCAAAACGCAGGCGAGCCGAUGGCACGUUCGCCAAAAUUUUGGCGUCGUAACUUUCCAUCUUUUCCUCUGUGGGUCCCAUGUCUUUUUCUUACCUUGGGAUUUUUUAAGGGUCUGUUUGGUUUAUGACCCCAACCACCCUACCAAAAUAUUGGUCAUGCCAAGUCCCUCGUAUGUUGUUUGCUUUGUAGCCAAAAUUUUGGCUGCCAACGGGUCCUUUGUUCCUUCCUUCACAGAUUUUUGCCAAAUCUUUGGCCAACCCUGGGCGAUGGAAUCCCACGCCAAAUAAUUGGCAAGCCAAUAUUGGCAGGGCAGCUACAGGCAAGAACCAAACAUAUCCUAAGAUUCGUGUCCUAUCUUGUGAUGCAUGCAGCAUGUUAGUUCAGAUUGUUGUGGCCGUUAAUUAAUUAGUGGGCCCCGUCGCCAAUUGAGCUACUCCAAUCACCAUGGCGGCCACCGCGAUUAUGGACGGAGAAGCUUAUCUGAUGAUAAUACAAACUUGCUUUCCCUUGUCCCUCUAGAGAUCACAACGCCCUAAAAUUUUCUUCCCAUCUGCUCCCUCCGCAAUACACAGAGGGAGUAUGUAUUCAUCUGCAGACCCAUCUCCUUUGUCGUGAUCUGUCUCUCCAAAUUCUACAUCUGCAGAAAGCGAACUGUACUUGGUCUUGUUGUUUGGAAGACUUAUCAUGUAAAUACGCUCCUUGAGCCACGAAAUUGGUCAAUAUCUUGCAAACUCCAACCAAGUGAGAGAGAAUAUAGUACACCAAAAAAGGAAGCAUUCCUGUAUUCGUCAGUUUGAUAAGAGUGGUUGGCGUCAUCUAGCGAAGGACAACCAUUUGCUAUGUGUUUUGGGAAUCUUCAGAAACUACAGGAUGUCUUUUGAGAUAUAAUCCAACCCAGGAAGCCUCAAAUCUGAAGCCUCCAAGAAAAGCCGCGACCCCCCCCCCCCUGCGUCNNNNNNNNNNNNNNNNNNNNNNNNNNNNNNNNNNNNNNNNNNNNNNNNNNNNNNNNNNNNNNNNNNNNNNNNNNNNNNNNNNNNNNNNNNNNNNNNNNNNNNNNNNNNNNNNNNNNNNNNNNNNNNNNNNNNNNNNNNNNNNNNNNNNNNNNNNNNNNNNNNNNNNNNNNNNNNNNNNNNNNNNNNNNNNNNNNNNNNNNNNNNNNNNNNNNNNNNNNNNNNNNNNNNNNNNNNNNNNNNNNNNNNNNNNNNNNNNNNNNNNNNNNNNNNNNNNNNNNNNNNNNNNNNNNNNNNNNNNNNNNNNNNNNNNNNNNNNNNNNNNNNNNNNNNNNNNNNNNNNNNNNNNNNNNNNNNNNNNNNNNNNNNNNNNNNNNNNNNNCUUUGGCGGAUCCACUCUGAGUGGAGAGCCUCGACAUCCGGGGCGGCGGCCCCGGGCGGCGGCCAGCGGCGUGGCCUGUGCGGCGGGCGGCGCCGCAGGGUGCAGGUGGGCCGCCUCCCAGGUCGUGCGGGCGGCAUGGAGGCGGUGGGCGUCGGUGGCUGCAGCAGCUCCUCGUAGGCCGGCUGUUCCUUGGAGAAUCGGCGUCCUCUUCCUCGAUCUGCUCCGAUCCGCGCCGCCCCCUGUCCCUGGUGGCUCCGGCCGCCGUUUUUGGAUGCCGGGUGUGCGGAUCUGGUGGUUGGGUGUGGAUCCGGGGGAAACCCCUGGCCGGCGCGGCGGCCACACUGAAGAUGUCGCCUUUGGGCGUCGUUCUCCUUGCUGAAGGCUUCGGUGGGCUUCCUGCACCUCCCACCCCACCCAACAGCUCAGGUGAAAGCCUCAGUUCCUCGUUUCAUGGUGACGACGGCACAUUGGUGGCGUGAACCUUCCUGAAGGCGUCGUCAGGGAAGUGCUCAAGUGGUGGUGGAGUCGGUGGUGGUUCGACGGCGGAUUGUAUUGGCCUGAUCCUCAUCUUUGGCAACUUGUUCGGGUCCAGGUGUGGAGGGUUGCCUCCUACCCUUGACCGAUGCGUGGUGCUGCAUACUCUUGGCCUUCUCCGGGGUUUUCAGCGCCUUCGUCUCGACAACUCUCGUCCGGUGCUCUGUCUUGCUGCUGCCGGCAACGGUGACUGGGUGUUCGGCUCCCCGUUUUCGUGUGGGUUUGUUCCUGAUGCAUCUCCUUCGGUUGCUUGGGAAUGCUGAUCUGGGUUCUAGGGUGAACCACUCCGCAGGCCGCCGGUGCGGCACCCGCCGAGCCCGGGUGAAAGGGUAGGGGCCCUUUGCGGAGGCGGAGUCAGGUCAUGUGUUGCCCCUGUUUUCCUUCUGAUGGCAAUCAGUGACACAAAACAUGCACGGUGGUGCCUUCCUCCCAUAGCCUUAGUAGGUUAGCUGGUUUCGGCUUAGCGGCGUUCGAUGCCUUCGAGUUGUUCUACUAAGCAUAAUGUAUCUUUAUUUCCGCUCUUUGUUUCUUGUUGUAAGUGGCAGUGCUGUAAUCCUGGCCGGUUGAUGGCUUUGUUAAUUCAAAGUCGGGCUCUUCUUGAGCCUUCGUUCUAAAAAAAAUAAUCCAACCCAAUCCAGGGACUCCUCCCAUGUCGCCCCUGCGCGGCGACCGGAGGAAACCCUAGCGCCGCCGCGUCCUCGUCCCUCCCCCGGGCAAAGCCCGGUCGGCGUCGGCGGCGGCGGGAUCUCUUCUCCCACGGCUCGCUGGAUCUGGCGCGGGCGGAUCGUGGCGGUGGUUGGCGGCACACUGGAGGCGGGGCGCACCGGCGCGAGCUUGGGGUGACGGCUGUUUGCCCUGGUGUGCGUGGGAGUCCGCUCGGGGCGCGCGGCGGCGGCCCUCGGCAAGCGGUGGCGGGCGCUGGGAUCUCGGCGGCUUUCCGGCAUGUGCAGGCGGCGGUGGUCCCUGUGCGCGGUCGGCGGCUCCGUCUCUGACCCGGACGGCGCGGGGGAUGGCGUCGGCCCGGCGUGGCCGGCGAUCUGGAUGCGGUGGUGCCGGCAGCUCGUCGAUCUGCCGGUGCUCCGGGGUUCUGCCUGGUAGCGCUAGUGGUGACGACGGCGCGUGCACGAGAGUUGGAUCCCUUCGAACUGAUCUGGGUGAAAACUUGCCUUCGGCGUCUACUAAGGCCGGCUGUUGCGGCGCUAUCUGCGUCGUUCCCUUCUUGAAAGCAUCGUCGUGGAGAAGUUCAAGGACACUCUCUGCUACCUCUGGGGAAACCCUAGAUCGGAUGAUCGAAUGACGGCGGUGCUCUGGUGUCGUUCCUCCCUUGGGGGCGUCAUUCUUGGAGGUACACACGUGAUCGAGGGACCAGAGGACAGAUUCUUUGGUGGAGCGGUGCUUCAUCCUACACACUGAUUGCGACGGAUCUUGACAGCGUGGCACAGUGCAUAUUCGGAGGUCGCUGUGGGAGGAUGGACUCACGCAGGAGGACCACGCUGUCAGGCAUCAUGGUGGCAUCGAUGGCAGAGAGACCUGACACGGUUCAUACAACAGUACAGCUCUGAAGAUGGAUUGGUGGCAGGUGGCUGCGGCGGCCUCAUACCCGGCAGGCGUCCUGGUUGAGGAGUGCGCCGGACUGGUAGGUGCCCCAUACCCGGCAGGCGUCCUGGUUGGGACCUUAGGUCUUAGAUGUUUAGGUUUGGCUGCGAUGUCUGUUUGGUAUUAGGCCUAGACUAUCUGCGUCCCUUCAUCAAUUGGAUAGGUGUAGCGACAGCUAUUGCUUAGACGGUGGCUUUAGUCUUGCUGUUGUAUGACUUUGUAAGGUCUUGUGUGAGAAUAAUUAAUAAAGUGGCCGUAUGCAUCGACCAGAUGUAGAGGCCGGGGGUCAUCCUCCUUUUCUAAAAACAAACAAACAAACAAACAGGAUGCGUAUCAAGCUUAGAUGGAGGCAUGUACUCAAACACUCUGAACCUAGCUACUAAAGUUGCAAUCAGUCGAGACAAAUGCUCAAAACCUGAAGCAUGCUCUGAAAUUUCUUGUACCUAUUAGCAGCAGGCCAACAGCUAACAGUUGGAAGAAAUUACGUGCAAGCAACUUUGUCAACCUAUGAGCUUAUCAUUUAUUCAAUGUACAAGCAGUUAGUUCAAUGAUUCGUCGAUUUGUCCAUUAGGUGUUUAGUACCAGAAGUAGCAUGUCCAGCAGCAUAUCAGAUUUGUAAUGCAAAUUGCGUAGUGCAAAUCAAGCAUGGAGCACCUCCGAUAACAAAACAACAUCAGCUUCAAAAAUGGCAUUGACCAAAAUGAAAGUAGAACUUGUUAGAUUGAUAUCUCCACCAAUGGGCCCAACGGCUCAUUGGGCCCUUGACCCACGCCCUGAUCGGGGGCGUCCAGCCCAAGCAAGGCUGGUGGGCCCCUAUCGUGCAGUACUAUAAAGAGGAGGUGGGGACCAGGGGCAUGGGGUACGAGGUUCGUCACCGCCACUGUUCCCCACUCCUAACCCUUUCCGAUCCAGAGGGAGGCACUGAAGCGACAGGAAGCUCCACCGCCGCCACUCACGCACUCUCUGCCAUCACCGCCGUGUCCACAACCACCGGCCACCGUCACCAUGGCCGGCAUCAGGACGUCCUCGAGCCACGGAAGAAGGUAAUACCUACCACCACUGUUGCCGGAAUCCUAGCCUGCACGAUCCCGUCGUGGUUCUAUCAGAACUAACAGAUUAUUUCAGAAAUUUAGAUUCACCAACACAUGCCAGUCACAUCUCGCUGGGCACUAAUCGGCAAGGGGAGAACAUCUAAUAGGGCUAGCUAUGUGUACGUAAACGUAGUCAUCCAAAUUUCGUGCUCACAGGCUGCCAUCGACGAGAUGCGGUGGCCACCUAAUGGAUCUUCAUCAUAGGCAGCCGAUGAGACAUCCAGUCGGCCACACACAUGUAUCCCCGUCUAGGGUUUUCGUCGCUGGGAUCUAUGAGCCGCUAGAGGCAAGAGAAUGAUUCAGGAGCCAGAGGUGGGAGACAGGCCCACAGGAUGAGGGAUCUUUUUACAAAUCGCAUGGGUGAGCUAGGCUGGAGGCGGGCGUCUUUUUGCAAGAAUUGAGCCAACAAACUACAUGCGCACGAUUUGAUUCGGAUGGAUGGUAGCGAAGGGAUGCAGGGGUGCACGAAGGUAGGCAGAUUCAUAGGAUACGACGCCUUUCAGGAUUACAAUGGUUACAAGUCGCAGUUGUUAGCAAACCAAACAAGAUGUUCAUUUUGCCAAAAAUUUGGACGGUUACAAUGGGCACAAACCAAACAUCAACAAGCUACCAAAUUUUUGGUCAUGCCUGUUGUAAAGAUGAGCAAUUUACCGAGUGAUUUUAUUAACAAAAAUACUAGAUAAAGCAUGACUAGUGUAGCAGUGAUAAAACAAGCCAUGCGAUUUGACAAAAAGAAGGUAAACAACAUCUUCAUAUAUGAACCGUAACUAAACAUAUCUUGAGCAGACAGUAUAGCAAGUUGCAUAUAUGAACUAAAGUCUAAUAUAUCUAGGGCAAAUACUAGAACAAGGAACUGUAGCAGAACCUCCAAUAGAAAGGGGACAAACACGUACGGGGCAGAAGCAGCAGAAGCGCUAGACUUGGGGUCGGUGUCCUCGCCAGCCAUGUCGUCGAGAAGAUCGUGGAUGUCGGGGAAGUAGUCGUCGGAGUUCGGGGCGUCCGUGAUGAAGAAGUCAGUAGUCGCGCGAAGCGCUCCCCAAAAACCUUAGCACCCUUCUCCCGUACAGGACUCAAAAGGUGCGGUUUCGAAGGCCUACUGUCCCGACUCGCGGUGCACGCCGCAAGCCGAGAUGAGGAAGACAGCAGCAGCGCAGAGAUUAGAACCGGUGGCGAGAGGAAGGAGAAGUUCUGGUGCAUCACUCUGAGAGGAGCGACCUCCCUUUUAUAGGCACAAGAGAAGGAGGCGAGAGGGUAGCGACGAAAGGUGAAACGAAGAGACGAAGAUGAAGCGAACAGCCAGCAGCCGAAGGGCUGCACCGUUCGCAUUCAAACUCCACUAGCGCAAAAACGUUUCAGCCUCUGUGUGACCUUUCGUAUACCCGUCGUGCGUGGCAAAAAUUUAGACAUCGGCUCAUUCCCGCAACCCGCGGAGCGUCGUGACGAGGCGUGGCGUGGCGAGGCGGGUGGCGGAGGAGGAGCACGCGUGGAUGUCCCUCUUGUUUUCAUGCUCAUACAUGUGGGGAAAGAACCUCCCUUAUAAAGAGGUCCAACUCCCUCUAAACUAGCAAUGUGGGACUAAACUUUAGUUCCACCUCUUGCUUUGCACGAAUGGGUUGCGUGGGCCUCUAGGAUUUAUUAGGAAUUUCUGAAACUGUUAUUGGGCUGGCCCAUAAUAGACAAAAUUCCAGCAAUCCCCCACCAGAUCCCAGAGGCACACAAAAUUUGUCUUUGGUUCCAAAACACUGUUUUAUAUACCGGUACUGCAGUGGAGACUGUUAAGUUGAACUUUCACCUAGAACUCUAUGCUACACUAGUAAGCAACUUGAACAGUGGACUGGGCCUUGAACUGCAAGUUUUCUACGAAUCUAGCUUCACAUAAAGCCUUGAUCGAUACGUGGCUACCAUGGGUCUUCCCCGUGGGUGGAGCUUAUGCGUCAUACUCCGAGACCUUUCAUGAGUUUACUAGAGAGAACCCUACUCUCAUAGAUUGCGACGUUUAACAAUCAGACUCAUAUAGGUGCGUUCUUCAAAAGAUGUUCUGCAGGACAACAUCUCUGCUUCAAAGAGCCACUUAGAACACAUUAAGAUAUACAUCAACCUGCCAUGCAGAUUAGGAGAGUAUUGUAUCUUCAUGUAGUGGUAUUUUUAACAGUAAAGAUACUCUCCUCCCAGUUGACCAACAGCUUGUCUUCCACAUCUAAUUCACGGGAUCUCCGAUCACAAAGAAUAGGUUACCACUGUGAACAACUCAUAUUGUGGGUCUCAUACCCAUCUCCCUCGAUGCAUUAUCUAUCACAUUACGUGAUAGACCCUUAGUAAAAGGAUCUGCCAGAUUUUUAGACGUUUGGAUAUAAUCCAAUGCAAUAACUCCGGAGUUUUUCAUUUUUCUGACAGACUUUAACCUUCUCUGAACGUGUCUUGAUGACUUUAUGUUAUCCUUUGAGCUGCUCACUUUAGUGAUCAUAGUUUGAUUGUCACAGUUCAUAAGGAUACUCGGUACAGGUUUCUCAACUACCAGCAAGUCAUUCAAGAGCCGACGAAGCCAAUCUGUUUCGACCGUAGCUGUAUCUAGUGCUGUAAGUUCUGCUUCUAUUGUUGACCUCGUUAAGAUGGUCUGCUUGCAAGACUUCCAAGAAACAGCGCCACCUCCAUGAGUGAAUACAUAUCCGCUCGUGGCCUUUAUCUCAUCAGCAUCUGAGAUCCAGUUUGAGUCACUAUACCCUUCAAGCACCUUUGGGUGCUCGGUGUAGUGAAUUCCAUAAUUCGCAGUGCCUUUCAAAUAACGCAAAACUCUCUCUAGAGCUUUCCAAUGCACAUCUCCUGGUUUUGAGACAAACCGGCUCAGUUUGCUAACAACAAAAGAGAUGUCAGGUCUUGUAGGACUGGCUAAGUACAUAAGCGAGCCAAUAAUCUGAGAAUACUUCAAUUGAUCUCUAGCAAUUCUUUGAUUCUUUCAAAGCAGCACGCUAGCAUCAUAUGGUGUUGGAGAGGGCUUGCAGUCACUAUAGCCAAAGCGACUCAAGAUCUUUUCCACAUAGUGAGAUUGAAGCAAUGUAAUCCCACCAUCAUCAUCUCUCAACAACUUGAUGUUCAGAAUGACAUCAGCCACUCCUAAAUCCUUCAUCUCAAAACAGCGAGAUAGGAAAUCCUUGACCACCUUAAUAACAUUCAGAUUUGUUCCGAAAAUUAGUAUGUCAUCAACAUACAAGCAAAGCAUAACCCCCUCGCCCCCACCAUGGCGAUAGUACACACAUUUGUCAGCUUCGUUCACAACAAAGCCUGCAGCUGUUAAAGUUCUUUCGAACUUCUCACGCCACUGUUUGGGUGCUUGCUGAGUCCAUACAAAGACUUCAGCAACUUGCACACUUUCCCUUCCUGACCAUCUAUUACAAACCGAUCUGGUUAUUCCAUAUAAAUUUCCUCAUCCAACUCUCCAUUUAGGAAAGCAGUCUUAACAUCCAUUUUAUGAACGAGAAGACCAUGUGAGGCAACUAGUGAAAAUAGAACUCGAAUAGUGGUUAGUCGAGCCACAGGUGAGUAAGUAUCAAAGAAGUCUUCACCUUCCUUUUGGGUAUAACCCUUAGCCACGAGCCGAGCCUUGUACUUUUCGAUAGUACCAUCAGGCCUAAGCUUCUUCUUGAAUACCCAUUUGCAUCCUAUAGGUUUUCACCCAUAAGGACGAUCAGUUAUCUCCCAAGUUUCAUUCGCCAAGAUGGAAUCCAUCUAGCUACGAACCGCUUCCUUCCAGUACUCAGCAUCUUCCGAUGCAUAGGCCUCCGAAAUAGAACUGGGAGUAUCAUCUAUGAGAUACACAAGAAAAUCAUCACCAAAGGACUUUGCUAUCCUCUGUCUCUUGCUCCUAGUAGGAACUUCGUUGUUCUCCUCCAUAGGACUUUCAAAGUGUUCCAUCAAAAUGGCAGGUUUGGUAAUUGUAACUGGUUCUUGAUUCGAUGAACUAGGCAUCUCCUGAUUAGAUGAGGUAGCCAUAUCGUUCAUGGGAAAGAUAGCUUCAAAGAAAGUCACAUCAUUCGACUCCAUGCUCGUACCGACAUGCAUGUCAGGUACCUCCGAUUUUAUAACCAAGAAUCUAUAGCCAAUGCUAUGAAAAGCAUAUCCUAGGAAAACACAAUCCACAGUCUUUGGUCCAAGCUUCCGCUUCUUUGGAAUUGGAACAUUGACUUUCGCUAAACAACCCCAUGUUCGCAGAUAAGAGAGUUUUCACCUUUUCUUCUCCCAUUCCACGAAUGGAGUUAUCUCUUUGUUCUUUGUGGGGACUCGAUUUAGGACAUGACAUGCUGUCAAUAUCGCCUCCCCCCACCAUGCCUUGGAGAGACCCGAUGUGUCUAACAUGGCGUUAACCAAAUCAGUAGAGUACAGUUCUUUCUUUCGGCCACCCCAUUUGACUGAGGUGAGUAGGGAGGCGUCCUCUCAUGGAUUAUACCAUGUUCUGCACAAAAAGCAUCAAAUUCAUUGGAAAAAUACUCUCCACCACGGUCGGACCUAAGCCUCUUGAUUUUUCGGUCAAGUUGGUUUUCCACUUCAGCUUUAUAGAUCUUGAAAAAGUUCAAAGCCUCAUCCUUAGAUUUCAGAAGAUACACACGGCAAUAUCUAGUGGAGUCGUCAAUUAACGUCAUGAAAUAUUUCCUUCCACCUUUUGUCAAAACACCAUUCAUUUCACAUAGAUCAGAAUGUAUAAGUUCUAGUGGUGCAAGAUUUCUCGUUUCCGCAGUCACAUAAGACUUACGAGGUUGCUUAGCUUGCACACACACUUGACACUUAGAUCCCUUGACAGUGGUGAAACUAGGGAUUAAGUUCAACUUUGCUAGUCGCGACAUGCAACCAAAGUUAACAUGACAAAGACGUGAAUGCCACACAUUUGAUUCACUAUUGUUGCAAAUAUGAUUAACAACUUUAUUGCAAACAUCUGAUAAGGAUAAACGAAACAGGCCUCCUGACUCAUAGCCUUUACCAACAAAGGUUCCAUACUUGGAUAUUACAAAUUUAUUCGACUCAAAGACAAGCUUAUAGCCAUCUCUACACAGAAGAGAUCCUCUAACAAGAUUUUUAUUGAUAGAGGGGACAUAAUGCACGUUCUUCAGCCGCACGAUCUUCAACUUCAGAUCGACCGUGCCAACACCAUGAACAUAAGCACUUGAACCAUUGCCCAUUAGCACAGUUGAAGUCCCUGCAGUCUGACAAGACAAAAACAUGGAAAUAUCACCACAUACAUGCACAUUAGCACACGUGUCAAUCAACCAAUCAGGAGAAUGACAUACUGAAAGAAUAGUGGGAAAUAUACCAUACCCAGCAUCCUUCAUGUCAGUGUCUCCAAUGACAACAUUAGCGGUCUUGCCGCCUUUCCCAGGAUGACGCUUGUCAUAGUGAUUAGGACAACUAGGAGCCCAAUGAUCAGGAUCUCCACACACAUGACAAGCACCUUUCUUCUUGUCACUCUUCUUCUUGAAGUUCGUGUGUUGUACAACCUUGUUCUUCCCAUCAAACUUUGCUUUACCAUCAAGCUUGCCCUUGUUCUUGAACUUGUGGGACUGGAAGUUUUUCUUCUGUACUAGAUUGGCACUAGAUCCUCCCUCAAUACCUCGAGCACGUGUGUCCUUUGCUCUCGCCUUUUCUUCCACAUCAAGAGUACCAAUGAGAUCCGGAACGAAAAACUCCUGUCUCUUAUGCUUCAGUAAGGUAGCAAAGUUCCUCCAUGAAGGAGGAAGCUUAGUGAUGAUACCCCCGGCAACAAACUUGUCCAGUAGCAUGCAAUUGAAGUGCUCAAGUUCUCUAGCAAAUGACUGUAUCUCAUGAGCCUGCUCAACCACGGAGCGCUCUUCAGUCAUCCUGUAAUCAUAGAAUUGCUCCAUGAUGUACAGCUCAGUGCCGGCAUCCGAGACCCCAAACUUGGCCUUGAGUGCGUCCCACAUAUCUUUUCCAUUGUCAAUUGACGCAUAAGCAUCAACUAUGUUCUCACCAAGAACACUCAAGAGAGUAGCCUUAAACAGAGUAUCCAUUUUCUGAAAAGCUUGUGACUGUUGAGCAUCAAGUUCCCCUUCAGGUCUGCCAAGAGUGGCGUCAUAGCAACUCAUGGUUUUAAACCAUAAGACUGCUCUCAUGCGCCACCUCUUAUAGUGGAUACCCUCAAACAUAGGAGGUCUCAUGGAAGCAGCAAACCCACUUGGGGUAAACUGCCAAUAAUAAGGUUUUUGGAUUGUUGGAAAGAUGAGCAAUUUACCGAGUGAUUUUAUUAACAAAAAUACUAGAUAAAGCAUGACUAGUGUAGCAGUGAUAAAACAAGCCAUGCGAUUUGACAAAGAGAAGGUAAACAACAUCUUCAUAUAUGAACCAUAACUAAACAUAUCUUGAGCAGACAGUAUAGCAAGUUGCAUAUAUGAAAUAGAGUCUAUCUAGGGCAAAUACUAGAACAAGGAACUGUAGCAGAACCUCCAAUAGAAAGGGUACGAACACGUACGAGGCAGCAGCAGCAGAAGCGCUGGACUUGGGGUCGGUGUCCUUGCCAGCCAUGUCGUCGAGGAGGUCGUGGACGUCGGGGAAGAAGUCGUCGUCGGGGAAGUAGUCGUCGGAGUCCGGGGCGUCCGUGACGAAGAAGUCAGUAGUCGCGCGAAGCGCUCCCCAAAAACCUUAUCACCCUUCUCCCGUACAGGACUCAAAAGGUGCGGUUUCGAAGGCCUACUGUCCCGACUCGCGGUGCACGCCGCAAGCUGGGAUGAGGAAGACAGCAGCAGCACAGAGAUUGGAACCGGUGGCGAGAGGAAGGAGAAGUUCUGGUGCGUCACUCUGAGAGGAGCGACCUCCCUUUUAUAGGCGCAAGAGAAGGAGGCGAGAGGGCAGCGACGGAAGGUGAAACGAAGAGAUGAAGAUGAAGCGAACAGCCAGCAGCCGAAGGGCUGCACCGUUCACAUUCAAACUCCACUAUCGCAAAAACGUUUCAGCUUUUGUGUGACCUUUCAUAUAUCCGUCGUGCGUGGCAAAAAUUUAGACAUCGGCUCGGCUCAUUCCCGAAACCUGCGGCACGGCGCGGCGCGGCGCGUCGUGACGAGGCGAGGCGAGGUGGGCGGCAGAGGAGGAGCGCGCGUGGAUGUCUCUCUUGUUCUCAUGCUCAUACAUGUGGGGAAAGAACCUCCCUUAUAAAGAGGUCCAACUCCCUCUAAACUAGCAAUGUGGGACUAAACUUUAGUUCCACCUCUUGCCUUGCACGAAUGGGCUGCGUGGGCCUCUAGGAUUUAUUAGGAACUUCUGAAACUGCUAUUGGGCUGGCCCAUAAUAGACAAAAUUCCAGCAAUGCCCACACUUUGGUCCUACCCACUUUUUGGCAGGGCUAGUUGGGGCUCAAACCAAACACACCUUAACUUUCAGAUGUGUUGCAUUCUUUCGCAGGUCUUUUGCAACACCGCUGCUCGAAUUGAUGGUCGUCGCGAAGAUCAAAGAGAAGGCCCACCUUUGGGCAACGACCGAUACCACCCACUUGAGUAUUGUAAUGCCGCGAGAGUAGUUCUCUGUUCCCCGCUUUUGCGGCUAUUUGUCUAAAACCUUCUUCCUUGAUCAAUGAAAAUGACAAAUCUUUUGCCUUGUUUUAAAAAUAAACUUCUAGAUGUGUUUUUGGUGAGAUGCAUACUUAAAAAUUUCUGGCUAAAAUUACACAUAUAUUUUUGUUGACACACAUAUAGAAGUUGACGGUGUGUACAAAAUGUUCCAUUAGAUAUCAACUCGCGUGUGUCAACAUGUGUACUUGCAUAUUAAGUCAAUUACACCUGUUGUCCUUGAAUUUGACGCAGACGGUCGCUUUACUGGUAGAACUUGUGGUAUACAUCGAAGUGUUCUAGUACAUAUCAGCUAGCCUCUUUAGAGUGUGUCAUCAUGUGUAGUUGCAUAUUGAGUCAAUUACCCCGGCGGUGCUUGAACUUGGCGCAAAUGUCGCUUUAGUGAUAGAACUUGGGUAUACAACUAUACAUUGAAGUGUUCCAGUACAUAUCAACUCGCCUCUUCAUAGUGUGUCAUCAUGUGUAGUUGCGUAUUGAGUCAAUUACACCCGUGGUGCUUGAAUUUGACGCAGACGGUCGCUUUACUGGUAUAACUUGCGGUCUACAUUGAAGUGCUGCAGUACAUAUCAGCUUGCCUCUUCAGAGUGUGUCAUCAUGUGUAGCUGCAUAUUGAGUCAAUUACACCCGUGGUGCUUGAAUUUGACGCAGACGGUCACUUUACUGGUAUAACUUGCGGUCUACAUUGAAGUUCUCCAGUACAUAUCAGCUAGCCUCUUCAGAGUGUGUCAUCAUGUGUAGUUGCAUAUUGAGUCAAUUACCCCGGUGGUGCUUGAACUUGGCGCAAAUGGUCGCUUUAGUGCUAGAGCUUGGGUACAACUAUACAUUGAAUUGUUUCAGUACAUAUCAACUUGCCUCUUCAGAGUGUGUCAUCAUGUGUAGUUGUGUAUUGAGUCAAUUACACCUGUGGUGCUUGAAUUUGACAUAGAUGAUCGCUUUACCGGUAGAACUUGUGGUAUACAUUGAAGUGUUCUAGUACAUACCAGCUAGCCUCUUUAGAGUGUGUCAUCAUGUGCACUUGCGUAUUGAGUCAAUUACCCCGGUGGUGCUUGAACUUGACGCAAUGGUCGCUUUAGUGCUAGAACUUGGGUAUACAACUAUACAUUGAAGUGUUCAAGUACAUAUCAACUAGCCUCUUCGAAGUGUGCCAUUGUAACGCCCCGGAUUCGUUGCGCCAGGUGUCCGCCAGUUAUUCGCCGUCGUUGCCAUGACUUUUGCUUGCGUGUUGCAUAUUGCCAUGUCAUCAUGUGCAUUUCAUUUCGCAUUCGUGUUCGUUUCAUGCAUCCGAGCAUUUUCCCCGUUGUCCGUUUUGCAAUCCGGCACUCCUAUGUCCUCCGGCGUCCCCUUUUUAUCUCUCGUUGUGAGUGGGUAUUAAAUGUUCUCGGAAUGGACCGAGGUUUGCCAAGCGGCCUUGGUAUAGCACCGGUAGACCGCCUGUCAAGUUUCGUGCCAUUUGGAGGUCGUUUGAUACUCCAACGGUUAACCGGGUAACCGCAAAGGCCUCUUUUGUUUGCAGCCCAACACCCCCUUCAAAGUGGCCCAAAACCCAGCAAACUCCCCUCCAUGCUCUCGAUCGUUCGAUCACGAUCGCGUGGCCGAAAACCGCUCCUCAUUUGGACAAUCCUAGCUCCCUCUACCUAUAUAUAUGUGCACCUCCCCCGAAAUCCCGGUCUAACCCUAGUCAUCUUCCUCCCGCUGCCGCCGGACACGUCCACCCCGGCCGGACAUGUCCGCCGGCCAUGUCACCCGACCAAUGGCAGCUCGCCACGUCACCCCGCCGCCGCUCCCCUUCACUCGCGUCGCGCCACAUCACCGCCGCCAGCGCCUCACCUCGUCGCCGCCGCCCGGGGCCCAGAUCCNNNNNNNNNNNNNNNNNNNNNNNNNNNNNNNNNNNNNNNNNNNNNNNNNNNNNNNNNNNNNNNNNNNNNNNNNNNNNNNNNNNNNNNNNNNNNNNNNNNNNNNNNNNNNNNNNNNNNNNNNNNNNNNNNNNNNNNNNNNNNNNNNNNNNNNNNNNNNNNNNNNNNNNNNNNNNNNNNNNNNNNNNNNNNNNNNNNNNNNNNNNNNNNNNNNNNNNNNNNNNNNNNNNNNNNNNNNNNNNNNNNNNNNNNNNNNNNNNNNNNNNNNNNNNNNNNNNNNNNNNNNNNNNNNNNNNNNNNNNNNNNNNNNNNNNNNNNNNNNNNNNNNNNNNNNNNNNNNNNNNNNNNNNNNNNNNNNNNNNNNNNNNNNNNNNNNNNNNNNNNNNNNNNNNNNNNNNGGCCGCCCGCGUGCCUCCGCUGCCGGCCGCGCCUUCUCCCGCCCGCCAGCCUCCAUGGCCGGUGCCGCCGUGAGCCUCGCCGGAGUUGGCCGAGCUCGCCGACCCCGUGGCUCCCCGGCCCAGAUCCGGCCGGAUUCGGGGAAGAAGACCCCGGAUCCGCCUCCCCAGCCUCGUCCCCGACGUCUCCGGCGCCUUUCCGGCCUCCUUCAUCAUCUCCGGCCAACUCCGGCGGAAUCUUCGGCGUACCUCGAGAACCGUGCAGAUCCGAAGGUUGUCCCCGAUUUUGCCUGUCCCGAGUUUUUCACAUCAUCAUGCCAUGUUCAUCGCAUCAUAACUUGCUGCGUACUGCUCCGUUUCGUGCGUGUAAUAUGUCAAAGUGUUCGCCUCGACGAGUACUUCAAUUCAUUCCAUUGCAUCAUUUUCAUUUGAGCUCAUCUUGGUGCCCGAAAUGCUGUUGGAAGAGUGCAUGUUGACGUUAAUCUGCUAGAACUGUUAUAACUUGCACUUUUGUCAUUUUUGCCAUGUUUGAUGUGUGCAUCCUAUGAGGUUGAUGUCUACAUGUGUUUUGAUCUAUGCCAUGCCAUCUUUCCAGAGGUGCUAUCCAUGUAUUUUUGUGAUUUGUGUGCUGAGUGCAUCAAGCUUGUUAAGGAGGGUACUUGCUGUUGCUGUUUUCCUGACAGAUUCUGUUAUAUUUUGUUGCUAUGUAAACAUGCUUCUACUAGUUAUUCUAUGCAUAAUCUGGAGAUGUUCACUAAGGAUGUUUUGUUAUACAUGUUAUGCUAUAUCCAUUCAUGCCCCUGGGUGCAUUAAUAGCCUUCUGUAGGUUGUUGUUAUCUUGCUCCAAAGUUGCUAAAUAAUGUUGCUGUCAGCCUGUUAACAUUAAGUUCAGUUUUGGCCAUGUGCUUUUCUAGUGAUCCAUGCAUCCUAUGAACUUGUUCUUGCCAUGCUUAGCUUCGUAAACAUGUAUUCCUACUGUUGGUUGCCUUGCCAUGCCAUGUGUUGCUCUGUGGUGAGUGAUUCAAGCUCACCAACAUGCCUACUUAUUGUUGUUCCUGCCAUGUAUGAAUCUGUCAUAUAACUUGCCAUGUUUACAUGGGUGCCAUUUUAUCUUCUGAUCCUUUUCAGCUCAUGGUCAGUAAGGGACUUUUGUUCUAUGAAAUUAUUAGAUUCAUGACAUGCCUUUGUUUGCCAUGAUAAGUUCCUGUAACAUGUUGUUUGAUAGCUCUAAACAUUGCAACCUGAUGUUAUUUCCUGAUAAGUCUGAAACUGUUAUUAUUUGCAAUCUUCCCAUGUCCUUUUGAGCAUGUUUUAGUUGUUUCUGGAGAUAGCUCAGUGUUCAUGUUUUGUUAUGCUUUACCUGUACCUCAUGCCCAUGCCUUUUGUUAUUAUGUUGGGAUGAGUAGCAUAUUGUUUUGAUGCUUGCUAGAUGCCUAGUCGCUGUUUUGGACAGAUUGUUGUUAUGACUUGUACAGAGUGUAUGUGUUGAACCGUUGCUCCGUUUUGAGUGUGCUCUAUAUGAAACUUGCUUGGUUUUGCAUGUAGUUUCAUAUUAUCAUGUUGCAUCCUUGUUUUGAGGUGUUUGCUUGAUGUUUGGAUGCAUUUUGCAUCAAUGCCAUGUUUAACUUGUUUUGCUCAUAUCUUCUAGGCCGUAGCUCCGAACUAAAUGAACUUUAUAUGUAACUUGACUAGAAUUUCGUGUAGAUCCUCUUGGUUCUCUUUAACUUGCUGUUUAACAACUUCAACUUAAUGUUUGUUCAGUUCUGGACCAAUUUUGAAAUAUGCAUAUGAGGACUUACCGGAAUUGUUAUAUGUUGUUCCCGGCCUCAUUUAAACUUGCCUUGAUGUGUGGUUCUUGUUUGCAUCAUCUCUUACCAUGAGUAGCUCCAUGAAGCUUUGUCAUGCAUCAUGCUUGUUGUGCAUCAUGUCUUGUUCAUGUGUGGUGUGUUUACCAUGUUGUGUGCUUCUUCUCGAUAGUUCCCGUUUCGUUGCGAUCGUGAGGAUUCGUUCGUCUACGCUUGGUUCGUCUUCGUGGCUUCAUCUUCUUCAUGGACUCGUUCUUCUUCCUAGCAGGAUUUCAGGCAAGAUGACCGCUACCCUGGAUCUCACUACUAUCAUUGCUAUACUAGUUGCUUCGUUUUGUCGCUUUGCUGCGCUUCCUAUAACUUGUUCUUCAAGCCUCCCAAAUUGCCAUGAACCUCUAACCUUUGACACCCUUCCUAGCAACCCGUUGUUUGGCUAUGUUACCGCUUUGCUCAGCCCCUCUUGUAGCAUUGUUAGUUGCAGGUGAAGUUGAAGAUUGCUCCAUGGUGGACAGGGUUAUGUUGGGAUAUCACAAUAUCUCUUAUAUUACUAAUGCAUCUAUAUAUUUGGUAAAGGGUGGAAGGCUCGGCCUUAUGCCUGGUGUUUUGUUCCACUCUUGCCGCCCUAGUUUCCGUCAUACCGGUGUUAUGUUCCCGGAUUUUGCGUUCCUAACACGGUCGGGUGAUUUAUGGGACCCCCUUGACAGUCACUUUGAAUAAAACUCCUCCAGCAAGGCCCAACCUUGGUUUUACCAUUUGCCUCACCACCACCUACUUUUCCCUUGGGAGUCGCUCUCUCGAGGGUCAUCUUUAUUCAGCCCCCUCGGGCCAAUGCUUGUCUAAGUGUUGGUCCGAACUAGAGUCCUUUGCAGCGCCCCCUCAGGGAAACUUGAGGUCUGGUUUUAGUUGUACGGAGUGCUCAUCCGGUGUUGCCCUGAGAACGAGAUAUGUGCAGCUCCUAUCGGGAUGUCGGCGCAUCGGGCGGGCUUGCUGGUCUUGUUUUACCAUUGUCGAAAUGUCUUGUAAACCGGGAUUCCGAGACUGAUCGGGUCUUCCUGGGAGAAGGAAUAUCCUUCGUUGAUCAUGAGAGCUUAUCAUGGGCUAAGUUGGGACACCCCUGCAGGGUAUAAACUUUCGAGAGCUGUGCCCGCGGUUAUGUGGCAGAUGGGAAUUUGUUAAUGUCCGGUUGUAGAUAACUUGACACCAGAUCCGAAUUAAAACGCAUCAACCGCGUGUGUAGCCGUGAUGGUCUCUUCUCGGCGGAGUCCGGGAAGUGAACACGGUGUCUGGGUUAUGUUUGACGUAAGUAGGAGUUCAGGAUCGCCUCUUGAUCAUUGCUAGCUUCACGACCGUUCCUUUGUUUCUCUUCUCGCUCUCAUUUGCGUUUGUUAGCCACCAUACUUGCUUAGCCGCUGCUGCAACCUCACCACUUUACCCUUCCUUUCCCAUUAAGCUUUGCUAGUCUUGAUACCCAUGGUAAUGGGAUUGCUGAGUCCUCGUGGCUCACAGAUUACUACAACAACAGUUGCAGGUGCAGGUUACACGAUGAUCAUGACGCGAGAGCGAUGCUUGCUUGUUUUUGAGUUCUUCUUCUGCUUCUUCUUCGAUCAGGGGAUAGGUUCCAGGUCGGCAGCCUGGGCUAGCAGGGUGGAUGUCGUUUGAGUUUCUGUUUGUGUUUCGUCCGUAGUCGGAUGGUGCUCUUAUGUAAGAUGAUGUUGUAUUCGUGUGGCAUUGUAUGCCUUUUGUAUGUAUCCCUAUCUAUUAUGUAAUGUUGAUGUAAUGAUAUCCAUCUUGCAAAAGCGUUUCAAUAUGCGGGUCUAUCCUUGGUGGGACCUUUGAGUUCCUUUUGGAUAGGGUCGCAUAUUGGGCGUGACAAGUUGGUAUCAGAGCCUCGACCGACCCUAGGAGCCCCCUUGAUUGAUCGUGUAGUUUGGCCGUUGUCGAGUCUAGAAAAAACUGAUUUCGGAGUCUAGUUAUAUUGGAGAGUAGGAAUUCUUUUUACUCCUCUGCCCCUUCGUCGCUCUGGUAAGGAAUCUUGACGUAGGUGUUUUGAAUUACUCCUCUUCCCCUUCAAAUUUUUCUUUAGGAUCACGCAUUUGGUUUUCUGAUCGUUGGUUCUCAGCUCUUUUGAUCCGGUGCAUCUCUCGUCAAAGUGAUUCGACCCUCUUUGUUUUUGCAAGAUCAAUCCUCAGUUGUCUUUGUUUUUCCCACCCGCCCACCCCAUUUCAUCUCGGAACUGGAGUCCGUAAUCGAGUACCCAUCCUACUCGUGUGAAAUCUUUGUUUUCUUUCCUCAAUGAUUUCAAUCGGUGUUUUCUCUUCAAGAUAUUCGUAGCUUCCCCUUCCAAGUUGCCUUUGUUUUCCCGCCCUCCCACCCUCUUCUUCCCGGAGUCUGAGUCUCUCUCGACCAUCAAUUUCAUUCAUGUGGAGUCUUUUCAGUCUUCCCUCAUUUAUUUCAACCAGUGAAUUCUCUUUUGUUUGACAUUCUUCAUCUCUUUUCUUUCCGGUGGACUUAAUUCAAGUUUUUCGGGCUGAUCACAUUCUUUUCCUUUCGUAAAGUGUUCUCCUUGCUCGUUUGCCUCUCGCCAUUCAAUCAUUCCGGAGUUCGGAAGACAUCUCAAGAGAUUCGUCUAUGUUCGAAUUAAUUCGAGGUUGUCACCUCAUUCAAAUAUUUCAAUUGUUCCGGUGCAUCAUCUAUCUGUUCAACAUCCCUUUCCAAUGGUGUUCUAUUUUAGUGGGCCCUAACCCACAGGUCUUUCCCAGGAUCUUACCUGACUCUUCUAAUUUCCCCGGAGUUUUUCUCAAUUCUUUUCAAUUGUGACGUAAGAAUGGAUCCCAUUAGUCACAUGCCUUCUCCAAGAUCUCUUUCAAAUUCUUUUCAUUGUUGGCUCAACCUUUUCGCUUUUCAUUCUCCCGGAGUAUCUCAGUAAUUUUGGUGGUGUUUCUCGUCGUCAUUUGAAGACCGAAGAAGAGCUUUUCCUCUAAAUUUUGUCCGUUCUCUCGAAGUUUCGCGGUUUUAGCUUCUUAUUAUCCUCUCAAUUAUUCCAUUUGUCAGUUAUUCUUUUCACCCAUCCGGAGUGUGUCAGAAGUUGUUUUCCCGUUUCUUUUCACCGGAGGCCAUCAUUCCAGUUAUCGUUCUCUAUUUAUCCCGGUGCUUCGUUCAAGUGUUCUUUAAUCAGCUCAUGAUCUCUUUGUUCUUUGCAUCUAAAUCCCCUCUAGCUUAUUGGUUCUUUUAAUUCUUCCCGGUGAUUCAUUCUCUUUCAUCAGUCAUUUUCGAAUUCUUAUGGUGGUUCGUUCAAGAUUCUUUUUCCUAGAUUAUCAUUUUAAUUCAUUAGUUUCUUUCCAAUCCUGCCGGUGGUUCAUGAAGAGUUUCUCAAGUUUUGUGCUAUAACCCCCCCUUAAUCCUUUUCAAGAAGAAUAAGUAGUAUGCAAAAUCCAUUGAUUGUCAUCAAUUUAAGUUGAUGAAGGAUAAUCAUACAAUAAAUCUUAUUCUUAUUUCAUCCAAUGAGUAAUCCCUUCCUUCAGAGUUUGUUCUUGAGGAAUAAAUUCUAGUUCUAAGUGUUCUCAUCUUUUCUUUUCCGGAGUCCAAAUUUCCUCGGCCAUCUCGUCGGAACCUCCAUCUAAAUCAUCGCAAGGCUUUAAUCUUAUUCUUUCAUCCUUCAAAUCUAUCCCUUUAUCCAUUUGUUUACCGGAGUUCUUCAUGGUGGUUCUUCAUGAUUUAAUUUAUUCUUCAAGAAGUUCAUCAAGAUUCUUGUUGGAGGAAUUCAAGUAUCUUUUCUUCUUGCAUCUCGAAGUGCAAUUAAUUCUCUGUGUUCUUUUGCAGCGGAGUUUUGCAUUUCUUUGUUCUUCUCAGCUAUCCAAUCAUUUCCGUUUGUGGUUGGUUAUCACCUCAUAAUUUUGAGAUGUUAUCCAUAAGUCCACGACAAGCUUAUUCUUUUCAUUGUUGAAUUUUCUCAACAACUCUGUUCAAUCCUUCCUUCUAAGUUCUUUUCAUUCAACUCUUUCAAUUCUUCCGGAGGCAUUGCAUUGUUCAUCUCGUCAAGUAUCAUUCCAUCCUCUCAAGUUCGUGUUCUAUUCCUUUCAUUUUAGUCGGAGUGCUACCUAAAUCCUUUCAGUCUUAUUCAUUUCUUAUCUCGUUCUAACCAGACUGAUUUCAUAGUCUAUCUUGUUCCUUCAGCUUUUGACUCUCGUCAUUCUCUUCAUUCCUCACUUCUUCUCGAGUGAUCUCGAUUCAUUACUUCUUCUCUUGAGUUCUUGUUUCACCUCAUCCCUUUUCCCUUCCGUCUCGGUCAUAAGAUCUCGGGACGAGAUCUCUUGUUAGUGGAGGAGUGUUGUAACGCCCCGGAUUCGUUGUGCCAGGUGUCCGCCAGUUAUUCGCCGUCGUUGCCAUGACUUUUGCUUGCGUGUUGCAUAUUGCCAUGUCAUCAUGUGCAUUUCAUUUCGCAUUCGUGUUCGUUUCAUGCAUCCGAGCAUUUUCCCCAUUGUCCGUUUUCAAUCCGACACUCCUAUGUCCUCCGGCGUCCCCUUUUUGUCUCUCGUUGUGAGCGGGUAUUAAACGUUCUCGGAAUGGACCGAGGUUUGCCAAGCGGCCAUGGUAUAGCACCGGUAGACCGCCUGUCAAGUUUCGUGCCAUUUGGAGGUCGUUUGAUACUCCAACGGUUAACCGGGUAACCGCAAAGGCCUCUUUUAUUUGCAGCCCAACACCCCCUUCAAAGUGGCCCAAAACCCAGCAAACUCCCCUCCAUGCUCUCGGUCGUUCGAUCACGAUCGCGUGGCCGAAAACCGCUCCUCAUUUGGACACUCCUUGCUCCCUCUACCUAUAUAUAUGUGCACCUCCCCCGAAAUCCCGCUCUAACCCUAGUCAUCUUCCUCCCGCCGCCGCCGGACACGUCCACCCCGGCCGGACAUGUCCGCCAGCCACGUCGCUCGACCAAUGGCAGCUCGCCACGUCACCCCGCCGCCGCUACCCUCCACUCGCGUCGCGCCAAGUCACCACCGCCAGCGCCUCACCUCGCCGCCGCCNNNNNNNNNNNNNNNNNNNNNNNNNNNNNNNNNNNNNNNNNNNNNNNNNNNNNNNNNNNNNNNNNNNNNNNNNNNNNNNNNNNNNNNNNNNNNNNNNNNNNNNNNNNNNNNNNNNNNNNNNNNNNNNNNNNNNNNNNNNNNNNNNNNNNNNNNNNNNNNNNNNNNNNNNNNNNNNNNNNNNNNNNNNNNNNNNNNNNNNNNNNNNNNNNNNNNNNNNNNNNNNNNNNNNNNNNNNNNNNNNNNNNNNNNNNNNNNNNNNNNNNNNNNNNNNNNNNNNNNNNNNNNNNNNNNNNNNNNNNNNNNNNNNNNNNNNNNNNNNNNNNNNNNNNNNNNNNNNNNNNNNNNNNNNNNNNNNNNGCCUCCCUGGUCGGCCGCCCGCGUGCCUCCGCCGCCGGCCGCGCCUUCUCCCGCCCGCCAGCCUCCAUGGCCGGCGCCGCCGUGAGCCUCACCGGAGUCGGCCGAGCUCACCGACCCCGUGGCUCCCGGCCUAGAUCCGGCCGGAUUCGGGGAAGGAGACCCCGGAUCCGCCUCCCCAGCCUCGUCCCCGACCUCUCCGGCGCCUUUCCGGCCUCCUUCAUCAUCUCCGGCCAACUCCGGCGGAAUCUCCGGCAUACCUCGAGAACCAUGCAGAUUUGAAGGUUGUCCCCGAUUUUGCCUAAGUCCCGAGUUUUUUACAUCAUCAUGCCAUGUUCAUCGCAUCAUAACUUGCUACAUACUGCUCCGUUUCAUGCGUGUAAUAUGUCAAAUUGUUCGUCUCGAUGAGUCUUCAUUUCUGUCCAUUGCAUCAUUUUCAUUUGAGCUCAUCUUGGUGCCCGAAAUGCUGUUGGAAGAGUGCACGUUGAUGUUAAUCUGCUAGAACUGUUAUAACUUGCACUUUUGUCAUUUUUGCCAUGUUUGAUGUGUGCAUCCUAUGAGGUUGAUGUCUACAUGUGUUUUGAUCUAUGCCAUGCCAUAUUUCCAGAGGUGCUAUCCAUGUAUUUUUUUGAUUUGUGUGCUGAGUGCAUCAAGCUUGUUAAGGAGGGUACUUGUUGUUGCUGUUUUCCUGACAGAUUCUGUGAUAUUUUGUUGCUAUGUAAACAUGCUUCUGCUAGUUAUUCUAUGCAUAAUCUGGAGAUGUUCACUAAGGAUGUUUUGUUAUACAUGUUAUGCUCUAUCCAUUCAUGCCCCUGGGUGCAUUUAUAGCCUUCUGUAGGUUGUUGUUAUCUUGCUCCAAAGAUGCUAAAUAAUGUUGUUGUCAGCCUGUUAACAUUAAGUUUAGUUUUGGCCAUGUGCUUUUCUAGUGAUCCAUGCAUCCUAUGAACUUAUUCUUGCCAUGAUUAGCUUCAUAAACAUGUAUUCUUACUGUUGGUUGCCUUGCCAUGCCAUGUAUUGCUCUGUGGUGAGUGUUUCAAGCUCACCAACAUGCCUACUUAUUGUUGUUCCUGCCAUGUAUGAAUCUGUCAUAUAACUUGCCAUGUUUACAUGGGUGCCAUUUUAUCUUCUGAUCCUUUUCGGCUCAUGGUCAGUAAGGGACUUUUGUUCUAUGCAAUUAGUAGAUUCAUGACAUGCCUUUGUGUGCCAUGAUAAGUUCCUGUAACAUGUUGUUUGAUAGCUCUAAACAUUGCAACCUGAUGUUAUUUCCUGAUAAGUCUGAAACUGUUAUUAUUUGCAAUCUUCCCAUGUCCUUUUGAGCAUGUUCUAGUUGUUUUUGGAGAUAGCUCAGUGUUCAUGUUUUGUUAUGCUUUACCUGUACUUCAUGCCCAUGCCUUUUGUUAUUAUGUUGGGAUGAGUAGCAUAUUGUUUGAUGCUUGCUAGAUGCCUAGUCGCUGUUUUGGACAGAUUGUUGUUAUGACUUGUAUAGAGUGUAUGUGUUGAACCGUUGCUCUGUUUUGAGUGUGCUCUAUAUGAAACUUGCUUGAUUUUGCAUGUAGUUUCAUAUUAUCAUGUUGCAUCCUUGUUUUGAGGUGUUUGCUUGAUGUUUGGAUGCAUUUUGCAUCAAUGCCAUGUUUAACUUGUUUUGCUCAUAUCUUCUAGGCCGUAGCUCCGAACUAAAUGAACUUUAUAUGUAACUUGACUAGAAUUUCGUGUAGAUCCUCUUGGUGCUCUUUAACUUGCUUUUUAACAACUUCAACUUAAUGUUUGUUCAGUUCUGGACCAAUUUUGAAAUAUGCAUAUGAGGACUUACCGGUAUUGUUAUAUGUUAUUCCCGGCCUCAUUUAAACUUGCCUUGAUGUGUGGUUCUUGUUUGCAUCAUCUCUUACCAUGAGUAGCUCCAUGAAGCUUUGUCAUGCAUCAUGCUUGUUGUGCAUCAUGUCUUGUUCAUGUGUGGUGUGUUUACCAUGUUGUGUGCUUCUUCUCGAUAGUUCCCGUUUCGUUGCGAUCGUGAGGAUUCGUUCGUCUACGCUUGGUUCGUCUUCGUGGCUUCAUCUUCUUCAUGGACUCGUUCUUCUUCCUAGCGGGAUUUCAGGCAAGAUGACCGCUACCCUGGAUCUCACUACUAUCAUUGCUAUGCUGGUUGCUUCGUUCUGUCGCUUUGCUGCGCUUCCUAUAACUUGUUCUUCAAGCCUCCCAAAUUGCCAUGAACCUCUAACCUUUGACACCCUUUCUAGCAAACCGUUGUUUGGCUAUGUUACCGCUUUGCUCAGCCCCUCUUAUAGCAUUGUUAGUUGCUGGUGAAGUUGAAGAUUGCUCCAUGGUGGACAGGGUUAUGUUGGGAUAUCACAAUAUCUCUUAUAUUACUAAUGCAUCUAUAUAUUUGGUAAAGGGUGGAAGGCUUGGCCUUAUGCCUGGUGUUUUGUUCCACUCUUGCCGCCCUAGUUUCCGUCAUAUCGGUGUUAUGUUCCCGGAUUUUGCGUUCUUAACGCGGUCGGGUGAUUUAUGGUACCCCCUUGACAGUUCGCUUUGAAUAAAACUCCUCCAGCAAGGCCCAACCUUGGUUUUACCAUUUGCCUCACCACCACCUACUUUUUCCUUGGGAGUCGCUCUCUUGAGGGUCAUCUUUAUUCAGCCCCAUCGGGCCAAUGCUUGUCUAAGUGUUGGUCCGAACUAGAGUCCUUUGCAGCGCCCCCUCAGGGAAACUUGAGGUCUGGUUUUAGUUGUACGGAGUGCUCAUCCGGUGUUGCCCUGAGAACGAGAUAUGUGCAGCUCCUAUCGGGAUGUCGGCGCAUCGGGCGGUCUUGCUGGUCUUGUUUUACCAUUGUCGAAAUGUCUUGUAAACCGGGAUUCCGAGACUGAUCGGGUCUUCCUGGGAGAAGGAAUAUCCUUCGUUGAUCGCGAGAGCUUAUCAUGGGCUAAGUUGGGACACCCCUGCAGGGUAUAAACUUUCGAGAGCCGUGCCCGCGGUUAUGUGGCAGAUGGGAAUUUGUUAAUGUCCGGUUGUAGAUAACUUGACACCAGAUCCGAAUUAAAACGCAUCAACCGCGUGUGUAGCGUGAUGGUCUCUUCUCGGCGGAGUCCGGGAAGUGAACACGGGUUCUGGGUUAUGUUUGACGUAAGUAGGAGUUCAGGAUCACCUCUUGAUCAUUGCUAGCUUCACGACCGUUCCUUUGUUUCUCUUAUCGCUCUCAUUUGCAUAUGUUAGCCACCAUACUUGAUUAGCCGCUGUUGCAACCUCACCACUUUACUCUUCCUUUCCCAUUAAGCUUUGCUAGUCUUGAUACCCAUGGUAAUGGGAUUGCUGAGUCCUCGUGGCUCACAGAUUACUACAACAACAGUUGCAGGUGUAGGUUUCACGAUGAUCAUGAUGCGAGAGCGAUGCUUGCUUGUUUUUGAGUUCUUCUUCUACUUCUUCUUCGAUCAGGGGAUAGGUUCCAGGUCGGCAGUCUGGGCUAGCAGGGUGGAUGUCGUUUGAGUUUCUGUUUGUGUUUCAUCCGUAGUCGGAUGGUGCUCUUAUGUAAGAUGAUGUUGUAUUCGUGUGGCAUUGUAUGCCUUUUGUAUGUAUCCCUAUCUAUUAUGUAAUGUUGAUGUAAUGAUAUCCACCUUGCAAAAGCGUUUCAAUAUGCGGGUCUAUCCUUGGUGGGACCUUCGAGUUCCUUUUGGAUAGGGUCGCAUAUUGGGCGUGUCAGCCAUCAUAUGUAGUUACAUAUUGAGUCAAUUAGACUAGUGGUGCUUGAACUUGGCACAAAUGGUCACUUUCAUGCUAGAACUCAUGGUACGCAUUGAAGUGGUCUAGCACAUUUACCAUGGAAGGUAGUGCGAACACGCGGCUUGCAGUGAACACACACACGAGGCUAGCCAACCAAGCAAAUGACCUUUGAUGUGCAAAGUGGUGCUUGUGAGAUCACCCCCCCACCGCCUCGCCCGGCCCCUCUCGGGCAACUCGGGGCUUAUCUCCCCCUCCCGUCGGUGUAACCCUCCCUCCUUGCGGCCACAGGAGGAUGGCGCUGGGCAAGCCUGUAGCACAACCAGGGAUUGUGGUGAUGGGGCUUGUGCUGCUCCUGCCAAACGGUGAAGAGCCAUGAAUGUUGCGCAGCGGCCCCUCCGACGAGGCCCCCUAUUUGGCGGCAAGUGACUGGGACGAUGUGGUGCUUCAUGGUCUUGUCGGGCAACCGACGGACCACCGGUGGAUUGGAGCCAUGGCAUGGCUGCCCUGGUGGCCGACGGUGCUAGAUCUAGCCCCUGCUUGUCUUCCCUGCUUGGUGUGCUUCCCUCGUGUCUGGAUCUUGGACGCGCUAGUUGGCUGGCCACUCCUCAGGCUGUGGGUGGAGCUAGGGUGGGGAUCUAGAUCAGGAGAAAUCCCUAGUUGGCUCACCGGUUUUCUUCAUGGGGACAUCGGUCAGGUCUCCCUACCUCUUCCCACCUCCCUUCCUCUCGGGUGAAAACCCUAACUACGAUGGGCGGUGAUGGCACACUUGGAACCGUGCCCUUCUUGAAGGCGUCGCCUUGAGAGCUAUGUGGUGGUGGGCAUCGUUUACGUUCGGCGGCAGCAGCAGAUGGCGUGCCCUUCUGCAUCCAAGCUUGUGCUUUUCCUCUUGUUUGUUAUGGUCGUGAGUUGUGUGCCAUUCAUCUGCUCUUGGAGAGCAUCGACACAUUUGGUGUGCGCUGGUCCGCUCUAAGUGACCACCCGAUGAUAUCCUCAAUGUUCUUAGGGAACUUUUUCAUCUUUCGACGGUGCGGCGCCUUACGAUCCGUCCAAGGAGGUUGUGGCCUCCUUCGGAGAUGGAGUUGGAUGGAUGUGUCGUGCUGAGGCCCUUUAUGUUUGGUAAUGGCAUGCCUUGGCGGUGCAUCUUCAUUCCCUCUCCAAAGUCGGCAUGCUUCCUUGUUCCAUGUCCGGUCGCCGUACAGGACCUCGAUGUCUUCAACUAUGUGUUUAUGUGUAUAUCCUUCAUGUGUGAAGUGUGAGGCUUAGUAAAUUGCUUUCCAGCGCCUCUGUAUUGUUCUGUUUUCUGAUUUUUUAUGUUGAAUGUUGUUGCUAUAUCCUGGUUGGUUGAUGGUUUUGUUAAUUCAAAGUCGGGCAAGGCUAGAGCCCUACAUAGACUCGGUUGCAUCUUUUCUCUAAAAAAAUAUGAUAACUGGGUACACAUUCUUUAUAUCCUUGAACUCACAAUAUAAAUUAGUAGCAGCUGCUGUUCGAACCACCAAACUAAGGCAAUCAAUCGGCCUACCCUACAACUCAAACUAACACCAAACCUCACCUUCUCUACUGGGCAAUAAACUCGAUUUUACCUCUUUAACCAGAAGACUUUGAUGUCUAAAAAAGAAAUUUAAUUUUUAUAGCAAUAAAAUUUAAGUUAGAAUACUCUCAAUAUAUAUAUAUGUGUGUGUCUAUAUAUAUAUAUAUAUAUAAUUAAAAUAACUUAUACCUAGUUUUAUUUUAAAAGAAUCACAUAUUAUUUGGAAAAGUUAUUUAUGUACUUUUCUAUUUAUUUUUAUUAUACAGAUAUAUAUAGUUUUUCAGAAACACACACAAACUUUAUUAAAACAGAUGAACACAUUUUAAAACAAACAUAUUCUUAAAGCUUGAACACAUUUAUACACCACAUGAUUAAUUAAAUAAAACCAUGAACAUAUUUAAACUUACAUGAGGAUUUAUUUAAAUAUAGAGAAAUUAAAAUUUCAUUACCAUUUUUUAAAUAUGCAACGAAUCAUAUGACCGGAAGCAAGGACUUGGUGGUGGACGUGCACAAGAUUCCUUCUAUGCCCACCAACGUCGAGUGGGGUGAUGCCUCGUCUUCUAAGGUAUUGGGUCUUGGCAAGGUUGUCAUUUCUCAUGAUCUAACGAUCGAGAAAGUCAUGCUUGUUGAGUCCCUUGCAUUCAAUCUACUUUCCAUUCGUCAACUUGCACUCAUGGGCUUUACCACUUUCUUUGAUAUUGAUACCGUGGCCCUCUUGUGGAGCAAGACUCUUAAAGUAGCCUUUGUUGGGCAUGUCGAGAACGGUCUUUAUGUGAUUAACUUUUCGGAGCAACCCACUAAGACCGCGCCAUGCCUAAUGGCUAAAGUUGAUGUGGGAUGGCUUUGGCAUCGCCGUUUAGCCCACAACAAUAUGAGAUCUUUGCAAAGUCUUCUCAAGGGGGACCAUGUUCGUGGACUAACAAAUGUUAGUUUUGCCAGAUAUCAUGCUUGCAGUGCUUGUAUUGAAGGAAAGCUUCAUGAGAAGGCUGACCCUCCCAUGACUAUCAUCUACUCGAAGAGACCCUUGGAGCUUCUUCACAUGGAUCUCUUUGGGCCUCCAUCCUUUGAUAGUCUUGGAGGUAGAAAGUAUUGCUUGGUGAUUGUGGAUGAUUAUUCAAGAUACACUUGGGUAUACUUCUUCAAGAGUAAGAGUGAGACUCAAUAAACCGUCAUCGACUUUGCAAAUGAAGCUCAACGUCAAUAUGAUGCAAAGAUCUUGACAAUAAGAAGUGACAACGGCACCGAGUUCAAGAACUACACCUUGGAUGAGUUUCUUAUUGAUGAGGGGAUCAAGCAUCAAUAUGCUACACCAUAUACCCCUCAACAAAAUGGUGUCGCGGAGAGGAAGUACCGGACGUUGAUGGAUGCGGCAAGGACCAUGAUGGUGGAGUUCAAGUCUCCAUACAACUUUUGGGCUGAAGCCAUCAACACAGCAUGUCAUGCAUCCAAUCGGCUCUAUCUCCGCAAAGGCUUGAACAAGACUCCUUAUGAAAUACUUACCGGUAACAAGCCCAACCUCAAGUACUUCCGGGUGUUCGGGUGUAAGUGUUUCAUUCUCAAGAAAGGUGUUCGCUUGUCUAAAUUUGAGGCUAUAGCUUAUGAGGGCAUAUUUGUUGGUUAUGCUACAAACUCUCAUGCUUACCGUGUCCUCAACAAGUUGAUAGAGGCGGAGGGUCCCGAUCUUUCGAUGAGAUGAUAACUGUCGAUUUGGUGGAGUCGAAUUUGACGAUCCGACUACAAACGUGCACGACAUUGCGCCUUAGGAGUCGCUAAACCAAUCUCCUGAGGUUACUGACGAUGCCGGAAGCACGAUCAGCCUGACCACGAAGGUCUAUUCCUGCAAGCAAUCGAAGAACAAGCAAGAAUAUGAUAAAGCAAUCUGAAUAUUGCGAAUAUGGGUGAAAUAUUGAUAAUGGUGGGGAUCCGAAAGUGGUCUUGGUCUGGUCGUUGGACACAAACGAAGUACACGAAGUUGCAAUGGCUAACUUUUAACUAAACAAAUCCCAAGCAAAAGGUACUAGAUGGAUCUACUUAUAUAGGGGCAAGGGGUGGCGGCCAAGGAGGUGGGAGAACGUCCCAAGGCAGCCUAAAAUCAACCCUAGGUCGUACAAGGCUCAUGGGCCCAAGUGGAGGUGAUGCAACACCUUUGGACUUGUUGUUUGACUCGGAUUCUGCUGCAGCGUCUGAUUGUUUCAUUGAUAUCUCAACGCUCCGGACGAAUUUGAAGGUGAAUCCAAUUGGGAUGAAAAGAUCACGAAAUCUACUUUCCAACAAAAAAAGAAUCACCCAAUUCUAUGUGGGGACCCCGACUCAUAAGUCGAGAUCACCGAAUGCACGUGUACAGUGAUCCCAGAGAUCAAUGCUCACUGAACACACAAAAGCUGAAUAACAAGAGUCUUACAUCCAUACAUACAGUAUUACACAAGUAGGACCAUUAUGGUCGAGUCUUGAGUAUAUCAUCACAGCGGAAAUCUUCGUCGAUAACUUGGACCCAUGCCAUCUGCCUUAACCCUACAUGCAUUCUGACUGGGAAACGUCCUAGCUCGCAUGUUCAUCUCCAAAGAACUCUUCUUCGAACUCCGGUUCUUCCAUGCCUGGCCAAUUAAAUAACCAGUGGCAAGCCAAUGAGUACUUUGAAUGUACUCGCAAGCAACCCAUGUUUUGGUUCAAGAUACAACAAUGCAUGAUAUAGGUAAGUUUUUGCAGAAAGCUAGUUUUCAGUGCAAUGACAUGUUCAACAACUUGUAAGACAUGCAUCAGGAGAAUUCAAGUAACCAUGAGGAAAGGUUACAGAUAUCAACAUAAAUAGAGUGGGCACCAACCGAACUCAAUCAUGUCAAGUCCUUUGACUUGACCCAAGUAGUUUUAUCAACACACACACUUGGUUUGUAAACAUGUGGACAUAGCCCAAGAGCGGUUACCCAACUGUCCUUGACCGUGAACACGGCUAUUCGAAUAGUUUUACACUCUGCAGAGGUUGCACACUUUACCCACAAGAUCCGGGGAACUUCCAUGUCAUCCACGACCCGCGAUACCUCAAGUACCCGAGGUAAGCACCCGAUCACUACCUUUCCCUAGACGACACUAACAAGGAGUCCACUCGUUGUUCCGUAUCCUCACGAUGUACAUCAUACGAGAAUCACUUGAGGUCGUAACAUCCGAGAGGGGACACAACGGUGUAUCCGAUGCCCUGUAAAGACAGUCAUGGCCGCCCUACCUGGCACGACCCCGUCCCGAGAGAGAGCACCAACUCUCCCCCGUCACUAGUAAUGCGGGCUCCAAGCUAGUGUCGACCUAGGUAAUCAAUAAUGCCCUUUCCCAUAUAAGGGUAGAGUGGUUGCGCAUGUAAGGUUGGAAUAACGGUCGCAACUUAAACCAAUCCGUUUUGGAAACAACACACACUUGCCUCGGUACACCACUUCGUCAUCAAGUGGCUACCCAACUCAUCAUCUCCCCCGGGCAUAAGUGGCACCCGAUGGGGUUUUCGAAAAGUCUUUUGAAAAUACUUUUCCUCCAACACCAUGCAUAUUCCCGUCCCUUUUUGCGUAGCACUACUUAGCAUCCUAUCUACUCCCACCGGCAUAACCCUCAUAAGAAGGUAGGGUCAUGCACAAUACAAGUAUCAACGAGGAAGUACGAUGGCAAACCAUCAAAGUGGUUACUACCUCAUCAUGAUUCCGUUGCAACAACAAUAUGGUGCUAUAUGACAUGCAUAAAAAGGGUUUCAUAGACAUGGUCAAAGGGAUGCUUGCCUGGUUCUUCAUAGUCUUCAAGUCUUCUGGUCCUUCUCCAAGUACUCUGUCUACUUCGUCAACUAAUGUCGGAAACAAUCAUAAUAAGCAACACAACAAGGCAGGAAAUAAAAGUGCUCUAAAAUAUGGAUUUGACUUUUCUAGGAUACCUUUGGUCAUAUGAGGGAUGACCAAAGUGGUUUCAUUAUGAUUUGAUCAAUGGACAUCUCUGAACAUUUCAAUAUGAUGGAAUCAAGGGGUUUAUGGAUUUGCAAGAAGUGUACAGAAAUAUAUUUUUGAAAAAUGAGCAAAGGCACCCAUUUAGCAAAUCAUGAUUUUAGAAGCAUUUGGGAGUUGGUUUCACUGGAUUUGGAGUUCAAAUGAAUUUCCUAUGAAUUUGCAAAGUUAACAAAUAUGAAGAAAUGGCUCAUUAUUUUAUGUGAUAUAGAAAGUAUUAUGAAAAAUGUUCAUAAACUAAGUUAUGAACUUAGAAGCAUCUAGGAAUUUGAAUCAUGGCAUUUGGAUCAAUUUUGAGCUCUUUGUGAUUUUUUAAAGUUCAUCACAGGAAUAGGAAAAACAAGAUAUGAUAAAUGAUUGUGAAGAAAAAGUCUCUGGAAAAAUGUGCAUGUGGCACCAACAGGUAGAUCAUGAUUUAUAGAGUCACUAGAAAUUUGAAUCAUCAAAUUUGGAGUCCAUUUGAAUUGUUUAUGGACUUUACAAGUCCACAGAAAAAGAAAAAGCAAAGGGAUUUACCUAAAUGGGCCUAAUCCGGCGGUGGCGGUGCGCACCGGGCGGGGUUUAGCGCCGAGGUGCAACUAGGCCGGCCCAUCGGCUCAGCCGCAUGCGCGCAGGGUCCACGCCGGAGGCGUAUUUGCCCAGUGCGUCUCCACUUAAACGGAGGGGCCCGCUAACGGGGUCACUGACCCGCGGGGUCCACCCGCAGGGUCGUCUCCCUCCUCCCGCGCGCGACGAAGGAGGCAGAGGAGGCGGGGCCGAGCGCUUGCCGGUGCCCGUUCCGGUGGCUCCGGUCACCUCCGGCGACGCCCAACACACCGGCGGGUUCAGGGGAUCAUGACGCAUCCGGAGAGGUGCGCCACGACCUAGGGGGCGGUCGGCUGCAAGCGCAACGUCGGCCGUGGCGGAGGCCGGCGACGAUGAAGAUGAGCAUGGCGAUGCGGCGAGGGAUGGACGAAAUGGAGCCCCGGGGUGGAUCAGCGGUGGUGAGGAGAGGGUUCUGGAAUGGCUAGAGGAAGGAGAGAGGGGUUAAGGCGCCGGAUUUUUGGCGGCGGUCGGCGGCUCGGCUCCGGCCAUAGAGGUGCAAGGAGGGCGCGGGGAGAGGAGUGAGUUGGUCGGGAUGAUGCACAGGAGGGAGAGGGAGCGAACAGAGGCCAAAGAGGGCUCGAGGGUGGCCUUUUAUGGCGGGGCGAUGGUGCACCGUGGACGGGGCACACGGGCGGCCACGGCGAUGGCUCUGGUGGCCAAGGGAGCGAGUGAGGAGGGCUCUACGGUGCUCGUGGGGAUGGUGCACGGUGCUGGGGAGGUAGAGGAGGAGCGGAGUGAGCUCGGGGCGGGACCCGUGCUUGAGCAGAGAGUGGCGGAGCUGGGCGGUGCUCUGUCCACGCGUGGGACGGGCAGGGGAGAGAGAGGAAGGAGGGGGCCGGCAGUGUGCGUGUUGCGGACGCCGAGGUGGUCCUGCUGGCGCGUGGGGGAGAGCUGAGGUCAUCGGAGACGUUGGGCAGAGAGCGGCUACAGUGCCUGGCCGCACUGUAGCGCGCUCUGGAGCGUGCAUUUGGCAUGCCAUGGCAUAUUAUAUGCCUUGUGGGCGCGGCCACUGAUGCCUGGUAGCUCUAGGGGGAGUAAAGAAGUGGGAGAUGGCCUUGGAUGCUCUGGGUGGCCAGUAGGAGAAGAGAGAGGUAGAAGAAGAGGGAGAGAGGGGCUGUCCAGGGAGGUAAAUGGGGGUAUUUCACCCCUUAAUCAUUGAGCAAUGGCCAGGGGAGGGUUACUGGAGGUAGGAGAGGACUAGGAAGGGCUGUGGUAAAAAGUUGAGGCCAUGGAGAAGAAUGGAAGUGGUCAAAACAGGGGUUCUAGUAAAAUGGCAGAAGGUGUUUGUUGCUGGUUUGGGCAAGAAGAUGAACUCCUAUUGUCAUGAGGCUUGACAGGGUCAAAUUGCAUGAGAUAAUAAUAGGUUCCACCAAGGUUGAGUCCAUUUGGGCAAAGUUGCCAAUGCAACUUUUGUAAACCCUAGAAAUUAGUAGAAAUGAACUUGUGUAGAUCUAGUUGAGCAAAUCACUUCUCCUUGAUGCACCACUUGGUGUAGUGUCAUCAUUUGAGGUUCUGAACAUGUACACAAAAGUUGAGAUCAAAAGGAGAAAGUUGCCAAUGUAGAGUUGUUCAAAUUUGGUUCUGGACAGGAAAGGUUUUGGGGCUCUUUGAUCAAGUUAACUUGUUCUCCAACUUGUGCCACUUGGUCUAGAUGAAUAAUUAGAACAUUUGAGCAUGUUCACAAGGUUUGAGAACAUUUGGAAAUGUUUGGCAAUGUAAAGUUGCUCAAACUUCAAAAUGGACAAAAAUGGUUUUGAGGGGAUCUGAUGAUGCUAUAUUGUUCUCCAAGUCAUGAGACUUGGCAAGAUCAUCUAAUAUGUCAUAUGUGACAUGCUAGAAUUUUCUUGGAAUUUGUGGAGAAUAUUUCCUUUGUAAAUAUUUCAAAAGAUUGAAAUAUCCAGAAAGGGUUUUUGAGGGAUUUGACCAAUAUUUUAAACAUGACCAUGUGUUGAAACUCUUAUAUAUGGACAAUAUAUGUCCACUGAGUUUCCCUAAUUUUUCACAAAUAUUUUUAAAACGAUAAAAUAAUUUUUCCCUAUUAAAGACCAUUUCUAGCCUUAAGCAAAAACUUUUAAAUAAAAUAGGAAAAUAAAUUUUAAAAUUAUAUUUUUGUGGUUUAUGGGUAUCCUAUAUCUAAUAGGAGUCAAAUAUAUUUUUGGAAAGAUUUUUACUGCCCUUAAUUAAGUACUUGCAGUGCAAAUCUCAAUUCAGGGGUUUUUGGAAAACUACUUUUUGAAAAUACUAAUUGGCAAAAUUAUUUUUGUAAGAAAUUAUUUUUAUGUCCUAUACACAUGGCUGAUCAUUGGUCAAGGUUUUUGGAUCAAGGGGAAGGAGUAUAAGGGUUGGAGAAUUUAUUUGAUUUUAGAGCACUUGCAAACAACAGCCAAACAUUCAAUCAAAGCAAAGACAAAACACUCAAAAGUUUUUGUCAAACCAGAUUUUAGCAUGAUUUAUUGACUUAAGUGUUGUGGCAUGAAAAUCAGGGUGUGACAUUCUAAGUCCGUAUGAAAAAGUUGUUGGCAUUUUGAGUCAGGUAUGUCUGUGCAGUCCAAAUCUGAAUCCAGAACGUGAGAGACUUGGACUCUAUCUUCUCUUGGCCCAAAAGUGACGUGAGAGGACUUUUUGAAUAGAACCUAAACUUCUCCUUUUCCCUUAUCUUCAUAUGUGGAUUGUACAAAUGUCCCAUACACCUGCAAUUAGACAAAACACAAAAGUGUGUGAAGUAUUUUUGUUCUGGAUAACAUAAAUAGGUUAUUGAAUAGUUUGCACUAGAAAUCACCUGACAAAUAUGCAUGUAUGCAAUAUUUUUGGUCGUAUCCAAGGUAGACAUGUCCUCAUCAUCCUCCCCUUCUUGAAAACAAAGCCGUCCUCGGUGUUGCUUAAUCUGAAAUGUGGCUAACAAAGGAGACAAUGUGUACAUGUUGUAUAUGAAUAUGUCAUCCAUUUUUACUUUCCUUUGUUUUUGCACAUAUGACACAUGUAUGCAUGAGUAACUUUCAUAGUUCAUAAAAUAUAUAGCCAAAAUAUUAUCACAAGAAGUAGAAGGCAUGAAAAUAUUGCAACUCAGUUUGCACAUAUAAGUGAAGCUCUUAUUCAUUUCAAAAGAUUGACAAUGUUCAUCAUUAAACCAUCCCAACAUUGGUGAAUAAACCUUACUUGCAUCAAAUUUACAUGCUACAACAUGCUUAAAUAAGCAAACAUGCAAUAAGUCAUUCGACACAGAAUCAUCACCAAGAUUAGAGGUCAUAUCAAAAUGAUUAAACAUUGAUUCUUUUGCAUCAACAGUUAAUUUAAUGGGUGCACUCAAAAUUGUUGGUAUUUCAGUUGUUUGAUCACAUGACGCAUUCAUGACAGUACCAAGAUUCUCUAAAAUAGGUGAUGUGCUCAAAUCAUCAUGUAACUCAACACAUGAUGCAUUCAAGUUAACUAGGGAUGCAUCAUUCUCAUGUGAAGUUAUAUCAUCAAUACCUUUACUGUUACCUUGUCGCUAAGACAUAGCUGAUGUAGGUAUGGACGUUGACAAUGCACCAUACUCUUGAGAUGAUGACGCGCUCACAAUCCGAGGUGGGGCUGCUCUAGUAGGUGCAACGGUGGAGGAACCAAACGGCGGUGGUGAGCAUGAACUGGAAUAGUAGUUGUUGUAGUCACCCAAUGCAUCCUCCUGUAUAUGUCUCUCAAAGGUACAAGCGCGAACAUACAUACCAGUAAUGCAACGAGGAAUAUAGUGAAAUAUUGCACGGAUAUCAUGGUUCAAACCACCAAAAAAUCUAUUCAUUGUAUCAUCCUCAGAUUCUUCUAUGUCACAAUGAUGCAUAUAAGAUUUGAACUCUUGAUAGUAAGCAUGAACAGUGUUACUGCCUUGUUUUAAUUGUUCCAAUUUGCUAAGCAAUUCACGAUGAUAGUAAGGAGGAAAAAAUUGUUAUCUCAAUACAGCUUUCAAAACUUUCCAAGUUGUGGGUUGGUUAUCAAUGUUUUUCUUACAAUGUACACUCCACCAAAUAGAAGCAAAACCAGUAAAUGCUCUAGUGGUAGCUUGUACUCUCUCAAGUUCAGAAAAAUCAUGGUGAUUAAAAACUUCUUCUAAUUCAAGCUCCCAAGCUAGAUAAAUAGCAGGAUUAAAUCUACCCUCAAAUGAUGGUAAAGACAUAACCUGACCAUAUGCUUGUGUGUGUUGUCCCAACUCUCGUGAUGGUGAAGAUGUGUCCGUCGUCCAAGAACUUCUAUCGCAGGAACCUGUCAUGAUUAGUAGAAACAAGAAACAAAAUUUGAGAAUAAUGUUCCUAUGAACUACUAGGACGUGGUUAUAAAGUGCUCACAGUAAAGCAAAUAUCAAUAUCUUACAAGUUCUUACCAUGCGGCAGGUGGUGACAGACAACCAGCGGUGUCAAAUAACUCCGAAGAUUGUGUAAAGGGAUUGCUAGGGGAACGUACGUAUACACGGUGUAGAAAUAUGUGGAGCUGGGUUGGAUAUAUAUGGUAGCAAAAGAUUAGCAAUAAUCAAUUCAAAGAUGCAAUGUUGAAUAAACGCUCAACAACGGUACUGUGCUGGUCCUAGGAGAGACCGGACUAGAGACGCGAGCCUAGAACACUGAUGAGGUCAUGGCGUAGCACAACUAGCAUCAAUGAAGGAUACUAAGUAGCUCUGGACAGCAAGAUAUAAGUGAAGAUCACAACGGUAGUAAAAGAUAAUGAUGAAAAACAACUGCCAAGCAGGAUAUACAACAACUCUCUCUCCAACUUUCCUCUUGAAAAGUUUGAGCCAAUUUUCUGAUAACUUUUUUCAAAGAAUAUUGAUAUGAGGAGUCAAAGAAUUCUAAAAUUGGCCUGAAAACUGGAACAAACUGUAUGCGCAAACUUCGGAGGGCCAAAAGACCUAUUUAGAAGCUGAUUUUGAGGUGCCAAAUAUUGAACUAGCUUCUGCAACUAUUUAGAUGCGGCUCAUCGCUAGCUUUCAUUUGAAUACUCGCAGAGUCAAAACGGACUUCGUAUGAGGAAGUUAUGCCUGUUUUACUAAACAGUGCGUAAAACAGAUUCCAAUCUGAAUUCAACUACGAGAUUGAGUCUAGAUAGAUCCAAAUUUUGUUUUUUUCUUCUUCUCUUUUUUUCCUAACACCUUUUCUUUUCUUUUUCUUUCUCUCUUUUUUUCUCUGACUUUUUUUUACUUUUUCUCUGUCUUUUUUUCUCUCUUUUUUCCAAGACAAACUAGAUAAGAUGCAGAUUGGAUCAGGCGAAGAUGUGAAUGAACUCAAUUAUGAUUAUGACAAUGAACAGUGCGUAGCACGUGGUGGAAAUUGAUGGACGGGAUGGUGGACAGCGGAAGGGAUAAUGAUGCAGCGGCGGCGUGACUAAUGUGAACAGAACUCGAAACUCUAAAGGAACUAGACACUAAGACCAACAACUCGACACGACGAUGCAACCGAUAAUUCAAUAAUGCAAACAAUGAAAAGAAAAUUGCAAAGGCUUGGACUGGCUAGGACAAAGGAUGAAUAGAUCCAACUUUUUUUUGGCUUUUGCUUGGACAAUAUGUAAGAAAAUAAAUCGAAUCUAGGGAUAAUUGGAAAAUCUCACCGAGCAACCUGAAAACUGAUACCACUUGAUAGAGGUGGAGGGUCCCGAUCUUUCGAUGAGAUGAUAACUAUCGAUUUGGUGGAGUCGACUUUGACGAUCCGACUACAAACGUGCACGACGUUGCGCCUUAGCAAUCGCUAAACCAAUCUCCUGAGGUUACUGACGAUGCCGGAAGCACGAUCAGCCUGACCACGAAGGUCUAUUCCUGCAAGCAAUCGAAGAACAAGCAAGAAUAUGAUAAAGCAAUCUAAAUAUUGCGAAUAUGGAUGAAGUAUUGAUAAUGGUGGGGAUCCGAAAGUGGUCUUGGUCUGGUCGUUGGACACAAAUGAAGUACACGAAGUUGUAAUGGCUAACUUUUAACUAAACAAAUCCCAAGCAAAAGGUACUAGAUGGAUCUACUUAUAUAGGAGCAAGGGGUGGCGGCCAAGGAGGUGGGAGAACGUCCCAAGGCAGCCUAAAACCAACCCUAGGUCGUACAAGGCUCAUGGGCCCAAGUGGAGGUGAUGCAACACCUUUGGACUUGUUGUUUGACUCAGAUUCUGCUGCAGCGUCUGAUUGUUUCAUUGAUAUCUCAAUGCUCCGGACGAAUCUGAAGGUGAAUCCAAUUGGGCUGGAAAGAGCACGAAAUCUACUUUCCAACAAAAAAGAAUCACCCAAUUCGGAGUCCGUAUGAAAAAGUUGUUGGCGUUUCGACUCAGGUAUGUCUGUGCAGUCCAAAUCUGAAUCCAGAACGUGAGAGACUUGGACUUUAUCUUCUCUUAGCCCAAAAGUGACGCGAGAGGACUUUUGGAAUAGAACCUAAACUUCUCCUUUUCCCUUAUCUUCAUAUGUGGAUUUUACAAAUGUCCCAUACACCUGCAAUUAGACAAAACACAAAAGUGUGUGAAGUAUUUUUGUUCUAGAUAACAUAAAUAGGUUAUUGAAUAGUUUGCACUAGAAAUCACCUGACAAAUAUGCAUGUAUGCAAUAUUUUUGGUCAUAUCCAAGGUAGCCAUGUCCUCAUCACAAGUCCACCGGACUCAUUGAAGAGACGUGUAACGUGGAGUUUGAUGAAAAUAACGGCUCCCAAGUGGAGCAAAGUGGUACUUGUGAUGUAGGUGAUGAAAUUCCUCCCCAAGCCAUAAGAAGAAUGGGUGUGGGUCAUAUCCUACCCAUUGAGGAACCCCUUAUGGCUAAAGGAGAAGGACAAUGCUCCACUCAAGUGGAGCCAUCACCAACCCAAGACCCACACGCUUCCGAAGAACAAAGUGAAGGCCCUCAACCUCAUGAACAAGACCAAGGGCAAGAUCGACCUCAAGAUGGUGGUGAACCACCAAAUGAUGCCCAAGGCCAAGUUCUCCCCCUCGAGCAAGUUCAAGAUCAAGAGCAAGCUCAAGAUCUAGAACAAGCUCAAGAAGACGCUCAAGAUAAUCAAGUUAAUCCUCCUCCUUCCACAUCCGAGGAGGAAUUAGAGCUUCGUGCCGUGAAGAUUGCUUCCAAGCUCACCACCCAAGGUCAUCUCAUGGAGAACGUGGUUGGAAGCCUAAGAAAGGGGGUAAGCACUCGUAAACAAUUAGCAAACUAUUGUGAACAUCACGCGUUUGUCUCUUGUGUUGAACCCCAAAAGGUCUAUGAGGCGCUCGAAGAUUCGGAUUGGCUCAAUGCCAUGCAUGAAGAACUCAACAACUUCGAGUACAACAAGGUGUGGCAGAUUGGUGCCAAGGCCGUCGGGGAACCACAACGUCAUUGGAACCAAGUGGAUAUUCAAGAACAAGCAAGAUGCUCAUGGGAACAUUAUUCGCAACAAGGCAAGAUUGAUAGCACAAGGCUACUCCUAAGUCGGGGGUAUCGACUACGGUGAAACCUUUGCUCCCGUUGCUCGCCUUGAAUCCAUUCGUUUGUUGAUCGCUUAUGCUUCCCAUCACAACUUUAAGUUACAACAAAUGGAUGUGAAGAGUGCUCUUCUUAAUGGUCCUAUUAAUGAGUUGGUUUAUGUCAAGCAACCCCCCGGGUUCGAGGAUCCCUACUUCCCGGAUCAUGUGCAUCAACUCGAUAAGGCACUCUAUGGCCUUAAGCAAGCCCCACGUGCGUGGUAUGACCACCUUAGCGAGUUGUUACAAGAUCGUGGAUUUGAGGUUGGGCAAAUCGAUCCCACUCUUUUUACUAAGAAGGUCAAAGGGGAGUUGUUUGUAUGCCAUCUUUGGUUCCCCUAACAAAGCUUUCAAUGAGGAAUUUGCCGCUCUCAUGACCUCUAAGUUCAAGAUGUCUUUGAUGGGAGAGUUGAAGUUCUUUCUUGGUUUCGAUAUCAAGCAAAGAAGAGAAGGUACCUUCAUCAACCAAUCCAAAUACACUCAAGACAUGCUCAAAAGAUUCAAGCUAAGUGAGGUCAAGUCGGCUUCUACUCCAAUGCCUACCAAGUGCCAACUUGACAUUGAUCCCAAUGGUAAAGCGGUGGAUCAAAAGGUAUAUCGCUCCAUGAUUGGCUCCUUGCUUUACCUUUGUGCAUCUAGACCAGAUAUCAUGUUGAGUGUGGGAAUAUGUGCACGGUUUCAAGCCGCACCGAAGGAAAGCCACUAUGUGGCGGUCAAACGAAUCUUUUGAUAUUUGGCUCAUACACCAAACUUUGGCUUAUGGUACCCAAGAGGAGCAAACUUCAAGCUUGAAGGAUAUUCGGAUUCCGAUUGGGCGGGAGACAAAGUGGAUAGGAAGUCCACUUCUGGAGGGUGCCAAUUUCUGGGUUGCUCUUUGGUGAGUUGGUCUUCUAAGAAGCAAAGUUGUGUGUCUCUCUCGUCCACCGAAGCGGAAUAUGUGGCGGCUAGUAGUUGUUGUUCACAACUCUUAUGGAUGAGGCAAACUUUAAAGGAUUACGGUGUCAUUUGUGACAAAGUGCCUCUUUGGUGUGACAAUGAAAGUGCCAUCAAGAUUUCUCUCAACCCGGUGCAACACUUCAAGAUGAAGCAUAUUGAGAUUCGGUAUCACUUCAUCCGGGAUCAUAUUAGGCGAGGGGAGAUAGAGCUCAAGUAUGUCAACACUCAUGAUAACCUUGCAGAUAUUUUCACGAAGCCCUUGGAUGAAGCAAGAUUUCGCGAGUUAAGGCAUGAGCUAAAUAUCAUUGAUUCAAGCAAUGUGACUUGAACCCUUGCACAUCCCACCACACUCAACUUGUUGUCUAGUUUAGGUGUACGCAUGGACAUAGUGGGAGUGUUGUUCUCUUAAUGAACUCUCCCUCCCCCCCGUCAUGCAUAAAUUGAUCAAUUCUUUCACAUUAGCCAUUUUUGAUGGUACAUGUGCUUCAAAGACGAGUUUUGGUCAUGGUCCCAAGGAUAAUUCUUCGCGGUGCCAUACCAAUCAACUCAAACAUAGGUGGCUCCAGCCACCGCCCCCUCCUUGGAGAGGUUGUGUCUCGUUUUGGUCUUUGUUGUCUCUUGUUUGUUUGUUGUGUCUCGCUUGUUAGCUCGUUGGUGUGUGUGUUCUCUUGAAGGUUCCGUGCAAAGUUGUUUUCUCCUAUGCUUGAAACUGAAUUUUCUUGGGUUCACGGUACUACCGUGGUCCGCCAUGGUACUACCGCAGGACACGGUACUACCGCAACCAGCACGGCAGUAAUUUUUUACUGCCGCUGGUGGAGCGGUACUACCGCCCACGGCGCGGUACUUCCGCCCGGGCGGUACUACCGCAAUGAGUCGCGGUACUACUGUGGCGUAGCGAGCGCGUGGGGGUUAAGAGCAGGCAGGGGGAGUUCCAACUCCCCCAUACCCAUUCACUCCUUUUUCCCACGCCGCCUCUCUCUCUCCUGCCCACGAACGGCGCCGGAGACCCUCGCCAGAUCUCCCUCUCUGGCUGCUCUCCUCGGGUUCCAACCGGUGGGAUCGUUCCCUACCACUUCCUCUUGCCAUGGACCAAGGUAUUUCCCCAAAUCCCUCUCUUUUUGGUUUGUUCCUUUGCUUCUAGGUUUUUGGGGAGAUGCUAGUUGUUCUUGAGAUUUUAGGCUAAAUCUUUGCAAGAGUAGGUUGGAGGAGAGUAGUAAUGCGUAGAGUUUAUACAUAAUAUGUUGUCCCGUGGUAGAUUUGAUCGGCCGUAGUACCGCUUUGUCGUCACGGUAGUUCCCAGAUUCAAUUGCUCUUUCGGAUCUGAAAAGGCACGGUACUACCACCCCUUCGGCGCGGUACUACCGUACCUCCAUCGCGGUACUACCGUGAUUUGGAGUGGCACUAAUUUUUUAGUUCCGCGCGACCAAGCAGUGCUACAGUUGUUGUCAAAUCUAUCAUGUGGCAAUUAUUAUGUACGAAUUCUACCUGUUUCACUGUUUUGUUGCGUUCUUUGCACUGAUCCUUCUCGCGUUUCUUGCGUGUUUGUUUUGUGGUGUGUGGCUCAGGUGCUCAUGCUCGCCGUUCCAACCCAAGCCGUGACAUGGGCUCCAAGCGUCUGUGCAAUCAAGAUGAAGCUCCUGAGGGCUCUAGUGCCCCCCAACGCAGGACCAAGACCACCGCCACCAAGGACGAGGAAACCGUCAUGGGUAUGGAUGAGAUGCCGCUUGAUGAGUUCAUCUCUCGAAAGAAGAUCAAUCCCUAUGUGAAUCCUUGUGCCAACCUUCAUGGGAAUGAGUUGUUCUGGACCAAGCAGCAGAAUCUCAUUUAUCUGGACGUGAUCAAGGCCAAGCGGAAUAUCUAUGUGGAUGUGCAUUGGAUCGACAUGCAUCAUAUGAGGGAAGAGAAGCACCGGGCAUACUUUGGUGAGACUCUGGAUCUAGUGGAGCAGUUUGACAUUGAGCAUAUCAUCUCUUUUCACAAAGACUAUGAUCCGGAGAUUGUGGCUCAGUUCUUCGCCUCGGUGUACUUUCAUCCUAAUGAGGACCGGACGAUGACUUGGAUGACCAAUGGUCGGCGGCUGAUGGCUACCAGGAAGGAGUUCAUGACUUUGCUUGGUGUUUCGGAUGAGGGGCUCGCUACCCCAAGGUGUUCGUCCUCAUGCCAAUUCCGAGUCAACCAACAAGAACAAGUUUCAGCCCUUCCUUGUUGAGAAGAAGCUCUCCAGUGGCAAGUCUUCUUGGGUGCUCAACUCCUUACUGGACAUCAUUUACCGGAUCUUCCGCAACUCUCUGUUCCCAUGCAUUGGGGAUAAGGACAAGGUGCAUGCUUAUCUUGUGGACAUGUUGCUCCUGUGUGAAGAAGCGCGCAACUCUCAGACGCUACCACUUGAUGUCUCACACAUCAUGUGGUGUGAGCUUCGGUUUGCCAUCUUCAUCCGCAAGGUCCCCAUCUAUGGACCGUAUCUGUUUCAGUUGAUCUCAGCUACUUGGGAGAAGCUCUACCCUCAGGAUGACUUUGAGGCCCCUGAUUGGAUUCGACACGAUUCCAUCCGGCUCCGUGUCAAGACUCAGUGGGCUAACACCACCUCUCGUGUUGAGGUUGCGGCUGCCAUGGAUGUGGAUGCAGAUGAGGAUGAGGAGGAGCCAGCAGAUGAGGUUAGCUUUGAGGGUUACGCCCCUCCCAUCUCUGAGCCAUCUUGGGCUAAGAAGCUAAAGAACAAGAUGAAGACCUUGUUCUGCAUGCAGGCCAAGGGUCAGUACAGGUCUCAUGUUGCCUCCAAGGAGAGUCGCUGCCAGGACAAGAAGAUCAUGAGGCUGUUUGGAGAGGAUGUUUCUGGCGGUUCUGAGGAUCGCAUCACUCCAGAGGCUGAGUGGAUGGCGAAACAAGGCUUCAAGUGGACUGAUUCUGAGGAGGACGUCGAGGUGACCAUUCCUGCUGCUGAGUCUGACGAGGACCGUGCAUCUGACUACUUUGCUUGAGCCACCACGUGUGUGUAGGUGUCCUCUCUGCCUUUUUGGCGUCCCGAUGCCAAAGGGGGAGAGAGUGUAGGGAUUUGCGAGAGUCUUGUGUCUUAUGUUUGCUUUGCUCGUGUUUGUUUCGUUGAACCUUGCUUGCUUUGAUUUAGUUUGCUCGUGAGACUUGGUCUAUCAUAUGGUGUAAGACAUAUGCACUCUAUCGUACCUUAUUACCUUUUUGAGAUUAUGUUAUGUUGUGCUAUUUUUGUUAUGCUCAUAUUUACUAACUUCCUUAGUGUUAGCCUUUUGUUGCAAGAUAUGCCUUGUCUAUAAAAUAUAGGGGGAGUGUUGAUCCUAGUAUACGUGCCGUGCAGUCCAAAGCACUUUACCCUAUGGCACGCAUCUAGGGGGAGCUCGUUUAUAUUUUAGAGAUGUGGGGUUUGCCUAUGUGCUAUAUUCUUUCCCUUUGUGCAAAUCCCGUAUUGUCGUCAAUCCACCAAAAAGGGGGAGAUCGUAAGGGCAUUUUAUCCCUAAGGUGUUUUGGUGAUUGAUGACAAUGCUUUUGCGGACUAAUCGUGUGCCUUGAGUAUUUCAGUCGCUUCGUCGCUAGGCACAAGACGGUUUGGUACCCCUCGAAGACUAUUGAAGACGGUGGUGUUCUACGUCUCUUUUGGUGGAUUUGAGUCGUAGGAAAGCCGCACUAUUAAGAGGGGGUCCGCGGUGGAAAGGUUCAGGUGGAAUCAUCACGUACACAUUUUCUCCCUUUGCACCGCCUUUCCCUUUGCGCCUUGGAGCAUCCUCCGUUAUCUUCAUUUUGUGCAAAAGAAGGAGUCCUAGUGUUGCUUCUGAGGCAUGCGGUAAUACUGCUCCUAGGAGCGGUAGUACCGCAGGCCCCUGCGCUGGUACCGCAAGCCCUUGCGGUAGUAACAUAGGAGCACACGGUAGUACCGCUCCUAUGGAGCUGUAGUACCGCAGCCUCAGGCCAGGCUCAGCCUCUCUUGUGGUUGUAGGGGCGGAUGUAAUUUUUUACAUCUGCGCCCUACGCAGUAGUAACGCCCCAUGAGCGCGAUAGUACCGUGAGUCCUGGUCUGGCUCAGUAACACGAGCGGAAGUAGGGCGGGUGUAAUUUUUUACAUCCGCUCCCUGCGCGGUAGUACCGCACGCCUGGCGCGGUAGUACCGUGUCGGAUUUUUGCACUGUUCGAUUUUCAGCGGAAGUAGGCACGGAUGUAUUUUUAUUCAUCCGUGCCCUUCCCAGCCUAGUCCAUUCUGGCCUUGCAGUAGUACCGCAAGGGGGAGCGGUAGUACCGCGUCAGCGGCAGUACCACUCUCAGCCGCCUUGGUGGCUCUGGCCUGGACUAGCCCCUGCCGUUGCAGCAGUAGUACCGCGGUCCAUCACGGUAGUACCGUGAGCCCCUGUGGUAGUACCGCUUGUCCGGAGCGGUAGUACGGCAGGUCGCGGGCUGAGUAAGUGGAUAAUGGUUGGAUUUGUCUCUCCACUAUAUAAGGGGUGUCUUCUUCCUCUAGUUGACCACCCUCUUCCAGCCCUAAGCUCCAUUGUUGCUCCAAGCUCCAUUUUUGCCCGAUCUCUCUCCCUAGCCAAUCAAACUUGUUGAUUUGCUCGGGAUUGGUUGAGAAGGCCCCGAUCUACACUUCCACCAAGAGAAAUUUGAUUCCCCCCACUAAUCCCUAGCGGAUCUUGUUACUCUUGGAUGUUUGAGCACCCUAGACGGUUGAGGUCACCUCGGAGCCAUAGUCCAUUGUGGUGAAGCUUCAGGGUGUCAUUGGAAGCCUUCAAUUAAGUUGUGGAGAUUGCUCCAACCUUGUUUGUAAAGGUUCGGUCGCCGCCUUCAAGGGCACCAAUAGUGGAUUCACGGCAUCUCGCAUUGUGUGAGGGCGUGAGGAGAAUAUGGUGGCCCUAGUGGCUUCUUGGGGAGCAUUGUGCCUCCACACCGCUCUAACGGAGACGUACUUCCCCUCAAAAGGAAGGAACUUCGGUAACACAUCCUCGUCUUCAUCGGUUCCACUCUUGGUUAUCUCGUGCCUUUACUUUUGUAAGCUUACUUAUGUUAUAUCCCUUGCUUGCUUGUGUGCUUGUUGUUGUUGCAUCAUAUAGGUUGUUCACCUAGUUGCAUAUCUAGACAACCUACUUUGAUGCAAAGUUUAAUUUGGUAAAGGAAAGCUAAAAAUUGUUAGUUGCCUAUUCACCCCCCCUCUAGUCAACUAUAUCGAUCCUUUCACUUGCUGUUUUUAUAUUUUCAUAUUACAAAAACCUAUAUCUACCAUCCAUAUUGCACUUGUAUUACCAUCUCUUCGCCGAACUAGUGCACCUAUACAAUUUACCAUUGUAUUGGGUGUGUUGGGGACACAAGAGACUCUUUGUUAUUUGGUUGCAGGGUUGUUUGAGAGAGACCAUAUUCAUCCUACGCCUCCCACGGAUUGAUAAACCUUAGGUCACCCACUUGAGGGAAAUUUGCUACUGUCCUAAAAACCUUUGCACUUGGAGGCCCAACAAUGUCUACAAGAAGAAGGUUGUGUAGUAGACAUCAAGCUCUUUUCUGGCUCCGUUGCCGGGGAGGCUAGGUAACGGGCACUAACACCCCGUCAACUAAGCUCUUUUCUGGCGCUGUUGCCGAGAAGGUUAGUGCUUGAAGGUAUAUCUGUAGAUCUUGCAAUCGAAUCUUUUUGUUUCUUGUUUUAUCACUAGUUUAGUUUAUAAAAGAAAACUACAAAAAAAUGGAAUUGAGAGUGCCUCAUAUGCUUCAUAUUUUUAAUGUCUUUCGUGAAAAUGAUGGAAAGUAAAAUUGUUCCCAAGUGCUAGAAGAAGAAUGAAUUAAAAUGUUUGGCACUAAAUCUUUGAAUGAUGAGCAUGAUUGAAAUGUUGUUAGUAUGAACUCUUUGAAUAUCCAUAGUACUAAUUAUGAUUGCACUAGUCAUGAUGAAAAUGUCUCUUAUAAGCAUGUCAACUUUUGUGGAGUGCAUAGAGUUUGCAAGUACACACCAAAUAGGGAAGAUAGAUUUUGCAAGAAGCAUAAGUACUUAGAAACUAAAUGGUUGCAAGAAAGGCUAGAUGUUUGUGCUGAAAAUUUAAAUUUCCUUAGCCAUCCUUGUGAACUUCGCAAUGAACGUGGUCAUUUAAAUAUCCAACGCAAAUUUUUUCAUGAUCGAAUCGUGUCCAAAAAUUGUGAUGACUUGAUUUCCGUUGCACAUCAUAAUGAACUUAGUUUGCUUCUAGGUUAUGAAGAAAUGAAACGUAUAACUAAGGAUAUUCUAGAAUUUGCCCUUGAGUGUGACGCCCCGAGACCGAUGCUCCAGUUGCCUUCCAUUUAUUUUAGUUGUUGUCGUGUGUUUAUUAUGUUUGUUGCUAUGUUCAUGUUGAGUGCUUGUCAUAUUUUGCUUCUUGCAUCAUGCUAUUUAUUAAUUGUAUUUUGCCAUCCUUGUUGUUGCCAUGAUCAUCUUGCUUUGUCAUAUGCUUCAUGAUGUGCUAUUGCAUUUUGUCAUUGUUGUUGCAUUUGCAUCAUGAGCAUCUAUGUUGUGUGCUUCUUCUUGAUAGUUCCUGUUUCGUUGCAAUCGUGAGGAUGCGUUCGUCUACGUGUGGUUCGUCUUCGUGGCUUCAUCUUCUUCAUGGACUCGUUCUUCUUCCUUGUGGGAUUUCAGGCAAGAUGACCGUCACCUUGGAUCUCAUUACUAUCAUUGCUAUGCUAGUUGCUUCGUUCUAUCGCUAUUCUGCGCUACCUAUCUCUUGUUGAUCAAGCCUCCCAAAUUGCCAUGUCAGCCUCUAACCUUUUCAUCCUUCCUAGCAAACCGUUGCUUGGCUAUGUUACCGCUUUGCUCAGCCCCUCUUAUAGCGUUGUUAGUUGCAGGUGAAGUUGAAGAUUGCUCCAUGGUGGAUAGGGUUAUGUUUGGAUAUCACAAUAUCUCUUAUAUUAUUAAUGCAUCUAUAUAUUUGGUAAAGGGUGGAAGGCUCGGCCUUAUGCCUGGUGUUUUGUUCCACUCUUGCCGCCCUAGUUUUCGUCAUACCGGUGUUAUGUUCCCGGAUUUUGCGUUCCUUACGCGGUCGGGUGAUUUAUGGGACCCCCCUGACAGUUCGCUUUGAAUAAAACUCCUCCAGCAAGGCCCAACCUUGGUUUUACCAUUUGCCUCACCACCACCUACUUUUCCCUUGGGAGUAAUUAACACAAGGGUCAUCUUUAUUAUAGCCCCCCCGGGCCAAUGCUUGUCUAAGUGUUGGUCCAAACUAGAGCACCGUGCGGGACCAUCCCUUGGCAACUUGGGUUACGUCGGUACCUGUACGUUUCGCUUAUCCGGUGUUGCCCUGAGAACGAGAUAUGUGCAGCUCCUAUCGGGAUUGUCGGCGCAUCGGGCGGCUUUGCUGGUCUUGUUUUACCAUUGUCGAAAUGUCUUGUAAACCGGGAUUCCGAGUCUGAUCGGGUCUUCCUGGGAGAAGGUAUAUCCUUCGUUGAUCGCGAGAGCUUAUCAUGGGCUAAGUUGGGACACCCCUGCAGGGUAUAAACUUUCGAGAGCCGUGCCCGCAGUUAUGUGGCAGAUGGGAAUUUGUUAAUGUCCGGUUGUAGAUAACUUGACACCAGAUCCAAAUUAAAAUGCAUCAACCGCGUGUGUAGCCGUGAUGGUCUCUUCUCGGCGGAGUCCGGGAAGUGAACACGGUCUUUGGGUUAUGUUUGACGUAAGUAGGAGUUCGGGAUCACCUCUUGAUCAUUGCUAGCUUCACGACCGUUCCGUUUGCUCUCUUCUCGCUCUGAUUUGCGUAUGUUAGCCACCAUAUCAUGCUUAGUCGUUGCUGCAACCUCACCACUUUACCCCUUCCUUUCCCAUUAAGCUUUGCUAGUCUUGAUACCCAUGGUAAUGGGAUUGCUGAGUCCUCGUGGCUCACAGAUUACUACAACAACAGUUGCAGGUACAGGUUAUGCGAUGAUCAUGACGCGAGAGCGAUGUUUGCUUGUUUUGGAGUUCUUCUUCUGCUUCUUCUUCGAUCAAGGGAUAGGUUCUAGGUCGGCAGCCUGGGCUAGCAGGGUGGAUGUCUUUUGAGUUUUUGUUUGUGUUUCAUCUGUAGUCGGAUGUUGAUCUCAUGCAUGAUGUGUUGUUGUAUUCGUGUGGCAUUGUAUGCCUCUUGUACCAUCUUUUAUGUAAUGUUGAUGUAAUGAUAUCCACCUUGCAAAAGUGUUUCAAUAUGCGGUUCUAUCCUUGGUGGGACCUUUGAGUCUUUUUAGGAUAGUAUCACAUAUUGGGUGUGACAUUGAGAGAGUUCUUGAUUUUGAUAUAGAGGAAAUUUAUAUGUAUUGUGCGUUUAAUUACAUCGAAAAUCCUUAUAUUGCCAAUUACAUAAAGACAAGAAAACAAAUAGAAGAUGAAGAGAAUACUAAUGAAAGGGAAGAGACUUCCCAAUAUCCUCCUAUUAUUUCUUUUGGUGAAUCAGAUAACGAGGAGGAGCCUUCUAUUCAACCAAUCUCAUUAAUAAGAAGCUCCAAAAGGGGAUUAAACCCACACAUGAUGCAAAAAGAAAAGACGGAGAAGCAAAGGUAAAAAGGCAUCCCUCCCAAAUGAUGUUGCUCCUACUACUCAUUGUGAUAAUAAUAGUUGCUAUACUAUUGGUGCUAUCCAUACUAUUAAUGAUGAGAGUGAUUAUGCUUAUGAUAUGAAAAGGCCCAAGCUUGGGGAUGCUAUGUUUGAUGAGAAUAACAUGUUUGAGAACUUAUUUGCUGCAAUUAAUGUUUGUCCCAAGCUUGGGUAUGCUAUGCUUAUUGAAGAUGAUAUUUUUAACCUCCCAAGUUUUGAUAUGCAAAUUUGUUAUAUGAUGAUAGCAUGCCUCCUACUUAUGAUGAUUAUAUUGAUGAAAGUGGGUUUGGAAGAGUGUCAACUUUAGGAAGUAAUGAUCCCACUAUUUUGGAGGAUGUUGAAUCUUAUUGUGAUAAUUAUGAAAGUGGAUUUGGAGAGGUCAGGACUUUAUUUAGUAAUGAUUCCACUAUCUUGGAAGAGGCUUCAAUUGAUUGUGAUGAGAACAAAGUUGUCACUUAUGAUGAUUAUUGUGAUGAUACUUAUGCUAUAAAAAGUAGUGAUGAUUAUAUUUAUAAAAGAAUUUAUGAUUAUAAUUACCCUUUUUCUGAACAUUACUCUCUGAAUGUGGAAAUAAUUUAUAGUAUUGGAGUUUCUUAUGAUACUCCCACUCUUCCGAAUGAGAAGAAUUUUUCUUAUGUGGAGAGUACUAAAAUUUAUAUGCUUGGUGAUCAUGAAAAGAAUGCUUUAUAUGAUAGUUAUAUUGUUGAAUUCAUUCAUGAUUCUACUGAAAAUUAUCAUGAGGGAGGAAUAUAUGCUUGUAGGAAUUGCAAUAAUAUCAAGUUUCCUCUCUAUGUGCUUAAAAUCUUGAAGUUAUGCUUGUUUUGCUUUCCUAUGCUAGUUGAUUAUUGUUCCCAUAAGUUGUUUGCUCAUAAAAUACCUAUGCAUAGGAAGUGGGUUAGACUUAAAUGUGCUAGUCAUAUUCUUCAUGAUGCUCCCGUUAUGUUUUAGUUCUUAUCUUUUAUGUGAGCAUCAUUGAAAUCAUCAUGCCUAGCUAAAAAGGCAUUAAAGUAAAGCGCUUGUUGGAUGACAACCCAAUAUUUACCCCUACUGUUUUUGUGUGUUCACAUGGUUAAGAUACUGUAGUAAUCAUGUUUUAUAGCUUUUGUUUCAAUAAAGUGCCAAGUAGAACCUUUGGGAAGACUUGGGUGAAAGUUAAUGUGAUCUUGCUGUAAAAAACAGAAACUUUGCGCUCACGAGAAUAAUUUUCAUUUUUAAGAAAAUAGUUCUUUUAAGUUGAUUCUUUUUGCAGAAGAUUAAUAGACAAAUUCCUCACGUCAACCAAUUUAUUUCAGAAUUGUUUGAGGUACAGAAGUAUUCGAGAGUUACAUAUUACUACAUACUGUUCUGUUUUUGACAGAUUCUGUUUUCUCUGCGUUGUUUGCUUAUUUUGAUGAAUAUAUGAGUAGUAUCGGCGGGUAUGAACCAUAGAGAAGUUGGAAUACAGUAGAUAUUACACCAAUAUGAAUAAAUAAUGAGUUCACAACAGUACCUAAGUGGUGAUUUAUUUUCUUAUACUAACGGAGCUUACGAGUUUUCUGUUGAGUUUUGUGUUGUGAAGUUUUCAAGUUUUGGGUAAAGAUUCGAUGGAUUAUGGAAUAAGGGGUGAUAAGAGCCUAAGCUUGGGGAUGCCCAAGGCACCCCAGGGUAAUAUUCAAGGACAACCAAGAGCCUAAGCUUGGGGAUGCCCCGGAAGGCAUCCCCUCUUUUGUCUUCGUUCAUCGGUAAUUUUACUCGGAGCUAUACUUUUAUUCACCACAUGAUAUGUGUUUUGCUUGGAGUGUAAUUUUGUUUUAUUUUGUUUUUCUUGCUGUUUGAAUAAAGUACUUCAGAUCUGAAAUUCUUAAAUGUUAGAGAGUCUUCACAUAGUUACAUAAUUAUAAGACUACUCAUUGAGCUUCACUUAUAUCUUUUGGAGUAGUUUGUUGGUUGCUCUAGUGCUUCACUUAUAUCUUUUAGAGCACGAUGCUAUUAUUUUGAAAGAAAUAGAUGAACUCUCAUGCUUCAUUUAUAUUACUUUGAGAGUCUUAAACAGCAUGAUAAUUUGCUUUGGUUAUGAAUUUAGUCCUAAUAUGAUGGGCAUCCAAGAGGGAUAUAAUAAAAACUUUCAUAUAAAGUGCAUUGAAUACUAUGAGAAGUUUGAUUCCUUAUUGUUUUGAGAUAUGAAGAUGGUGAUAUUAGAGUCGCGCUAGUGGAGUAGUUGUGAAUUUGAGAGAUACUUGUGUUGAAGUUUGUGAUUCCCGUAGCAUGCACGUAUGGUGAACCGUUAUGUGAUGAAGUUGGAGCAUGAUUUAUUUAUUGAUUGUCUUCCUUACGUGUGGAGGUCGGGAUCGCGCGAUGGUUAACUCCUACCAACCCUUCCUCUAGGAGAAUGCGUGUAGUACUUUGUUUGAUGACUUGUAGAUUUUUGCAAUAAGUAUGUGAGUUCUUUAUGACUAAUGUUGAGUCCAUGGAUAUACGCAUUCUCACCCUUCCACCAUCGCUAGCCUCUCUUGUGCCACGUAACUUUCGCCGGUGCCAUAACACCCACCAUUAUCUUCCUCAAAACAGCCACGAUACCUACCUAUUAUGGCAUUUUCAUAGCCAUUCCGAGAUAUAUUGCCAUGCAACUUUUCACCGUUCCGUUUAUUAUGACACGCUUCAUCAUUGUCAUAUUGCUUCGCAUGAUCAUGUAGUUGACAUCGUAUUUGUGGCAAAGCCACCUUUCAUAAUAUUUUCAUACAUGUCACUCUUGAAUCGUUGCACAUCCCGGUACACCGCCGGAGGCAUUCAUAUAGAGUCAUAUUUUGUUUUAAGUAUCGAGUUGUAAUUCUUGAGUUGUAAGUAAAUAAAAGUGUGAUGAUCUUCAUUAUUAGAGCAUUGUCUGAGUGAGGAAAUGAUGAUGGAGACUAUGAUUCCCCCACAAGUUGGGAUAAGACUCCAGACGCAAAAUAAAAAAUAUAUAAAAAAAGAGGCAAAAAAAAAAGAAAAGGCCCCAAAAAACAAAAAAAAGAGAGAAAAAGAGAGAAGGAGACAAUGUUACUAUCCUUUUACCACACUUGUGCUUCAAAAUAGCACCAUAAUUAUAACAACUUAUACCUAGUUUUAUUUUAAAAGAAUCACAUAUUAUUUGGAAAACAUAUUUAUUUACUUUUCUAUUUAUUUUUAUUAUAUAGACAUAUAAUUUUUCAGAAACACACACAAACUUUAUUAAAACAGAUGAACACAUUUUAAAACAAACAUAUUCUUAAAGCUUGAACACAUUUGUAUACCACAUGAUUAAUUAAUUAAAACCAUGAACAUAUUUAAACUUACAUGAAGAUUUAUUUAAAUAUAGAGAAAUUAAAAUUUCAUUACCAUUUUUUAAAUAUGCAAAUUGUUAUGUGAAUAAUUUUGUAAUUUAAUUAUAUGUAUGUUCUUUAAAUUUAUACUUGAAUAUUAUUUAUAAUUUAUUCUAUUUUAUUUGUAUUUAUAUUGUUUACAACACAUGAUUAUAAUUUACUUGGCGCGGUGAAUAUUCUAGUAGAGGAAAAACUAACAGCCCAUUUAAGCCUAAAAGAAUAUCUUUCCCUAAUAAUAAAGCGAUUAUCGCUUCUGCCCGCUCACCAUCGUCGCACUCUUUGCUAAAACCCCCUUGUGUUUUUCAGUAAUACAACUCACAGUCCUUCUUUUACUAAUGAUGGAUCGUUAAAAAAACUGUGUUUUAUCCAAACACAAUCUCUUCCUUUCCAGACGCGGCGGACAAGAGAAGGUGAGGUGCGGGCGAAGCAGCAGUAAAAGGGGCACGCGGCGGAGCAGCAGUAGAAGGGGCGCGCGGCGGAGCAGGAGAAGCUGGUCGAGCCCUUGUCGCGGGACAGCUACAACCGUCUCCCGCUUCCUAUCCAGCCGCAGCGGAGCAGGAGAAGUUCAGGCGCGGCGCGACGGAGCAGGAGAGGUUCAGGGGCGGUGCUAGCGGAGCAGGAGAGGUUCAUGGGUGGUGCCCUUGUCGCCGGACGGCCAUCCUUGUUGCGCUUGAUGGAGGACAGAAGGGGGAACAUUUUCUGGUGGGUACGCCGGCCGCGGGCACGCUUCGCUGUGACCUGCCGCCGCCAAUCCUCUCCGGCCUCCGCUUCGCUCUGACCUGUCUGCCGCCGCCAGUCCUCUCUGGCCUCCUCCGUCAUAUCCUUCUCAAUCUCCGACGAGCUGUUCCUGUGUCGUGAUUUAAUUGGAUGAACAAUCGGAGGCCGUGUCCUUGUCCAACACCAAGCAAUGGAGUGCCGACCCGGAUUUGAGUUGCUUGCCAUAAGAAGGAGCGGUCCUCGGCCGGAAUCUCCAUCAGAUUGCGUCCUUGGACCAUAAGCUCCAUCAAAGCCUGUCCAAAUUGCUUUUUGACGCAACAUACAAUGUCGCCGUCGAGUUUGCCGGAGGAACAAGACCAUCUGCCGAACCGUCCAAUUUUGCCUGCCUCGGCUACACCAAAGGUAUGUAUCCCCUUCAUAUUCACUGGAUGGAAUCCCCUGUUUGCAGCUUUGCGGACCUUCAAAGUGGCUUGCCAAAGACGAAACCAUUAUCGUUGAACGAAUCAGACCGGGGCAACACCCCAGACACGCCAUCGAACUCUAGAUCNNNNNNNNNNNNNNNNNNNNNNNNNNNNNNNNNNNNNNNNNNNNNNNNNNNNNNNNNNNNNNNNNNNNNNNNNNNNNNNNNNNNNNNNNNNNNNNNNNNNNNNNNNNNNNNNNNNNNNNNNNNNNNNNNNNNNNNNNNNNNNNNNNNNNNNNNNNNNNNNNNNNNNNNNNNNNNNNNNNNNNNNNNNNNNNNNNNNNNNNNNNNNNNNNNNACAUGACUAAGACGUCGAAGGAGGAAACCAUGCGUGCCAUCCAUGAACCACGAGCCCAGCACACGUUCCAUCUUUCAGAUGUCAUCGAUGCAGACCACAAUUUGCAUCCGCUCCUCGACUACCUCCCAAGCUCCGCAUGGACGUUGGAACAAACGUCGUCGCAACGACGGAGCCCCAGGACACAUGUCCACCACAAGCAUGCCGCCGCCGCCACGACAUCCCUGCUUGAGCUGGUUCCAGAUCCUUCACCGACAAUAGAGACAAUUGACUCGCCGGAGAAGAAUCCGGAGCUUCUUUAUUUAGCAUCGCCGUCGCCGCCGCCGAAGCAAAGACAUCGAACGAUACAAAACCCUAAGCUUCUUGGGCCCUAAAACCUAAAGCUAAAACAGUCCACAAGCGCGGGAUCCGGCGACCCCCUCACCACCGACAACCAAAAGGUCGCCGGUGGAGGAGAGCUGCCGGAAGACGGCAUGGGAAGGAGCGGCUCUCCUGAAGACCUACGCAAGUUUGAGCGUGUAGCGACGUACUCCCUCCGUUCGGAAUUACUUGUCGUAGAAAUGGAUGUAUCUAGAUGUAUUUUAGUUCUAGAUACAUCCAUUUUCGAGACAAGUAAUUCCGAACGGAGGGAGUAGUACAUAUAUGUACGUAUCUACGCUAUAUUACAGCUUUAGGACUCGUAUCGACUUAACAAGAGUCAGGAAUACUUAACCCAAACCGGUAAAGAUAGCUUUGCAACUGCAGCAGCUGUUCAAUAACAAUGACAAUUCAGAAUCUGAUUCAAAUUCAACAUUCUGAUAUAACUAGCAGGAUAUAGAACGCCGAAAUUGGCAAACGUUAUGGAAAACACAGAGAGUGCGUAGGAUGCAGAAUAAGUUCUCGUCUUGUUAUGCUUCCCUUUACCAAAAGAGCUUUGCUUAGACCCAGAAGCAUUUACAACCACAUACUACUACUACACAUAGGGUUAAUUUCAACGGCAACCAUGUCAGCGGACAGUGUCGUAGCAACUCCUAUUGAAAUCUGGAUACCUGCACAACCACAAUGCCAUCAGUGAAACCCAAUAUGUAGUCACCCACUGAACAACCGUCAAAGCUAUAUAUCUCAUAAUUCUGCAUGAUCACAACAAUAAACAUCAACUCAAAAUUCUGCAGAUCAUGCGAAAAAACUAAAGAUAAAUCAUCUCGGAAGCAUUGGACAAAACUAACAUCAUCCUGGCAAUACAAGAACAAUUUAGUUUGUACUCCAUCCGUCCGGAAAUCCUUGUUUGGAUACAUCCCCUUUUAUCCAUUUUGAUGACAAGUAUUUCCGGACGGAGGGAGUAGUGUUUUACACACCUUGAACCUUUACCAUUGGCAUGUUCUUAGUUUUGUGCAAACAAAAGAUCAAUGACAAAAACUUAGGCCCCGCUCGGGAAUUCACCGCUCCUAGGAUCUGCGGAGCGGCUGUUUGCUGGCUCCUAGAUUUUGCACUACAGCUCCGCCCGCUCCCGGAGCGGAGCCGUGGAGCGGAGUGACGCCGAACGGGGCCUUAUUUACAUAUCAUUGGUAUACAAACAAAAAAGAUCAAUGACUCAAUUCUUCCCUCACAAGCAAAUACUGAACUUCCUAGAGUUUCACAACAUUCAAGAUUUAGAAGCUCACGUAAGAAAGCACAACAGUCUCAUAUCUAACUCAUAAUCAGAACAAUUAGUUUGUACUAGCACACCUUCCUACCUCUACUUUAGACAUGCUCCAAUGUUCUUUUGCUACAUUAGUACAUGUGGUCAUAGUAGAAUCUAGUAUUAGAUCAGUGACUCGACACCCCCAGCAGAGGCAAAAGCUAAAUUUCCUCGAGUGUCAAGUCAUUUGAGUUGUGUAUCAUGUGCAUAUGAGAGGUUCCCGGACUACAAAGUAUCAACAUAUGGAUUGUAACUCAAAGGCACGCCUUUUGGAAAUGUAAGAACUAUAUAUACAAUUAGGAAUAAAUCAAAUUCGUGCACUGCAGGCCUAAAACAAUCAUGAUCUUAUAAACUGAGUAAUAACCAACAAAAAAAAAAGAUAUGCGCAUUGCAAACAGAUUAGCUGACCUCAC
rnacentral:lncRNA from 1 species